GAAGGACAAGGUGUAAGGUACUAAUUAUGUGUCUGCUAUAAGGAACUACUUCAUUGAUCAAGAAAGUUUAGGGACUAAAUUGAAUGAAUACUCAAAAAAAAAAAAAAAAUCAAGCCAACAAAAAGUUGAGUGGCUAAAUAGGACUUUCACUAAAAGCUUGAGAACUUCUAACGUGAGUUGCCCUCAAUGGUUCAAAACAAUUUUAAAGAUGCAAGCAGCCAGAGGGACUUAUGAGAUUCUUAACAUUUGCUAUAUAAUGAGAAAUGCUUUCCGACGGAUUAAUUUGAAGUGGUCAAGGUAAUGUUAUAGUGAGUUAGUGACUAAGAUAAAAUUUGUUUGAUAGAGCCAAGAUCGAAAUUUUGGGGUUUUCACAAAGAGGGAUCUAUCUAUAUCUAUAUUAUUAUCUUGUGGAAUGCGAAACUGCCAGAAAAGAGAACGAACAAUUUGAGUUGAUCGAGUUCCUCUAAUCAAGUCGUAGCAGUACUUUGCUGAUAGCAGUGCAUCGAUCAUUUCCCGAGUUCUUUUUGAACGAGAUGGAAAUAAAUGUAGUUGGUGGGUUACCUCAUUAAGGUUGUCAAGCUACAAUUGGAUGUUGUUAAGGUUAAUUGGUAAAAAAAAGAAAAAAAAAAGAAGAGAUAAUUUUGGUAUGGCGAUUUUGGCUUAUUUUCUUCAACAUUUUGUUCCUUAAGAACACUUCCUUAAGGAUUUGUGUAUAAACGUACGUAGUCUUACUUGGUUUUUGUCAAAAGUUGCGAUUGUGGGUUCUUUUAAGUAAAGUUUAGUUGGACGAUCUGGAAAAAUCAAGAUUCAAAAAAGCAUGUGGUACCGUACCGUCUGGACUUCAAAUAUGCCGUGAUCUCACGGUAACAUUUCCGCACUUGACAUCUAGCAUUCAUUUGCGAAAAAACGCGUACUACCAUAUAUAUAGUAGUAUCUACUACUAAAGUUUAUUAAAUAAAACCUUUACCUAAAUAAAUUCUAGAACAAAAGUAAAUAUUAAACAGUUGAAAUAAUUAAUGAGAGUCGAACCUUGCCUUAAGAAGAAAGCAAACAAAUUAAACAGUUGAAUUCUCACGCUACAAUAUGUACAAGCAAUUAUGUUUGUAGUGCCUUUAUGUGCUUAUAUGUCUUCAUGAGCCCUAAAAUACGAUGAAACAACUUAUCCUAUUAUAUAAUCCUAGUUUGGAGAGGUGGCGUCAUGCUAUUCCUGUCUCACCCACGUCAUUGCCUUCCCUGAAAUUUCUUGUUAAUUUCAACUCGCAAAAUCCAAACUCAUGAAGGUUUAAAAAAGGAAAAAAAAAAAAAAAUCUGCUGCUUUUAACUUUUUGGUGGUGUUAUUUGUAAUCAGGUCAUUGAGAACGAUGUUGUUUUCAAUCCAUGCGCUCAAAUAUGUGCAUCGACAUAGCUACGAAAGAUUUUAGCAUAUAUAUAUAUUUAAAAAAAAAAAAAUUUCCGUUAUUUGUGAUAUUGGGAGUGGCACCGCGGCCACAGGACGUUCCGGCAGUAUGCCAUAUUGAUUGCCGGUGGUCCAAACCACCCACAUGUUACGUUAUGUUAUGGCUGAUUUUCUGUCUAAGAUCGACUGCUGCAUAUAUCUUUCCCCAGCUCGGAGGCCAAAGACAGCUUCAUCAAUCGGGACGAGCAAAGUGUCUCAAUAUUCUUGCUGAUUCGUAUCGUUUCCAUGUGUUACACGAUGCAUGACUGACCCCCAAAUCCAUUUGUUAAUUUCUUGUGUGUUCUUUUUAGCUCACUUUAGAGUCAAGUGAACAGUGGACGACGUAGCAUAAAGAUGUCUUUACAUUUAUACAGUUUUUUUUUUUUUUUUUAAUUAACAAGUACCUCGUGAGACAAAUGUGUGGCGAGUGUUGUUUUACUUUUGUACAAGUGUAUGUAUGUGUCUCAACAUAACAUUUAAUGAGAUGUGUGUUUAAAGGUAGAGUGUUUGCUAUUCAGGUUAAAGAAAAAUCAUUCAGAAAAGAUAGUGUAGUGUGAUUCAAAGUCUCACGAAAUCAAUGUCGUGACCAAGGGUACGUAAUAAAACACUACUACCAUCGCCAAGGCGCAACAAUAAUGGUUUCUUUCCUAUAUAUAUCUACUGUCAUUAUGAUCACUACUAAUAUUAAGUUGGGACCUUUAAAUGAGACUCGAUCUGCACCACUAACUGUGUUAUAACGUCAAUUCAUCCCUCUCCAUUACCUCAUUCUUUGUUUUCAAUGAUAAAAAGAACGGUUCAUGAUUUUGUCCCAACUUUAGCUCCAUCUUUCCCACAUAAAGAAAGUGUUCCACUUAAUCGGAUGGCAAAGCUGUCUAUUGAGUGCUAACAACGCAGCGAUUCUUCCGACGUAUCCUGUUUUGCUUAAAAAAGUAUGACAUGAUUUUUCUUUUUUCUUUUUUUUUUAAAAAAAAGACUCAAAAGGAAUAAUACUAGAUAGCUGCCAACCAGCAGCUAUCAUUUUAGGUAGACCAUUUUUUUGUACAGUUUCAGAAAACCCCAUUUUGUUACUUACUAUAUUUUGAUAAUUUUAGGGCACUGACAAGAAAAUAACUCACGAAAUGCCAUCAGCCGAAUUAAUGAGUCCUUUUGGUAAAUCAGUUCUUUAGCCAAACUUGCGGGGGCCGAUUAAUUGGUUCCUCUCAGAAUUAGUUUGAGCGUGCGAAGUAGUAAUCGGUUCACAGCUAAAAGAGGGCCGGGAUGUAAGAUACCUAUAAUUACAACACUUUAGUUCCUCUUUGCAGGAUAAAUUCCACUUUUUAGAGAUAAGCUGCAGGAUGGAAAACCUACUUGUAGUGUAGGCCUAAGAUUAAACUUUGUGUGCGCGCGGGCGCGUGCAUGCGCGUGUAGCUAACAGAAAUCAGAAUGGCGGAUGGAAAUGUUGGAAGCUGGGAAUGGUGGGAGUCCACGAAGGGAAAGAUAAGUCUCAAGUAAUUUGGUUUCAUUAAUAGCUUUUGGUUGGGUUUGAGACUUUGGGACGAGUCUUCGAGAAAGGGUUUCUGCAUGAGAUAUUUUCCAGCAUCAAAAGGAAAGACGGUUCUUGGUUUCCUCACGAACAAUUAAUGCUUCAAAAUCCCAUGUCAUUUUGCGCUAGCCAAGUGAUCGAGAACACUACAGAGGUUGAAUUCGAGCCUAUUAAUAAGUUCGAAAGUGCGUGAAUCUAUUUUCCUUGUCUGCGAGAUUGGUUCGGAAUCAAGAAUGCGCAAGCAAUAGCGCAAUAGAGAGUCUAUUGCGUCCAAGGAAGUGCUUGCAACGAAGAAAGGAUCACUCAAUCUAGGGGAAGAACCAACCAACCCUGGUUGUGGCCAAUUAAAGCCAUGGACCCAUCAGUGAAAGCCAAAAAAUCUUAUCACCGUCCCUGUGUGUGGAUGUGGUACAAAUAAUAACUCAGUCUCACAAAUUAUUGACACACCCAACUGCGUCUCAAACCCGUCGCGGAUCAACUUUUGUCGCCAGUUCAACUUUUGACUUUUGAUGGGAGAAAAUGAAUUUCUUUUUUGGGGGGUUAUGAUAUGAAAGUUUUUGCUGUACGUGAAAUGGCGCUUUGAUCAUAGUAGUAUCAGUCUCCUUUUUCUUCCCUUUUUUUUUCGCCUCUCUCUGUUUUAGCAAAUGUCGCCUUCUAACUUAACUUGAGUUUUGGUCAAAAUCAGCGCAACUUGGAACCUUUUUCUGACUUUGUCUACUUUCUCAACUACUACUACUUGUGCUUGUCUCUGGUCCAAAAAUUUUUAACUUUAGUUAUCUAAGUUCUGCAAUCAAACUGGAGAGAUGAGAUAAAAUUAGUCAAGUAGUAAUUAACAUCGCUGUUAAAAAGGGAAAAAGCAAUGUAGCUUUGCACUCUUUAAGAUUGGUCAAACGAUUCCCAAGAUACUUGCGGCUUCUUUAUCUCGGGUUUCCCAGUAAACUGACGAACUGGACUACAAAUGACUAACGAGGUAAAUCUAGGCUGCAGGUAUAUUCGUUUUUUCGUUAUUUGGAUGACGGACGUAAAAUACUAUAUUUUGAUAUUUAAUACAGAAAAAUUAAGUAAAACGAGGGUAAAGGACACGAAAGAUCAAAGUACAUUUGAAAAAGCGAUGACGUAGAAUUUAACCAAAAAAAAAAAAAAAAAAGAACAAAAAAGCUCAUAAUUCUUACACUAUAUCUUAGUGUACAGCUUAGGAUAGAAUGAAUUUUGCUUCUGCUGUGUUGUGCUCAUAAAGAUGACUUAAAAUUGUCUUGAUUUAAUCUUAAUUCCAAACAGUCAUCAUGAAAUAAACAGUGCUUUCAGAAAAUAUUUUAUGACUUGGAAGAUCCAAUCGUUCUCCAUAUGGCGUCGAUUUCGUAGUCCGACACACUUUCUGCAACUAGAUUUUUAAUUUCUUGUCCAUCAUAUUCCUACGUUAGAACAAUAAAUUUUUUUAAAAAAAUAGCUUGAAUGUUGAGCUAGACAUAGUUCUCUAUUUUCGUUAUUGGAUACGUAUUCUUUUGCCACACAUGAUUUUUCAUUGGCUAAAACCCCAAAAAAAGAAAAAGAAAAAGAAAAUUGAAACAUUCAUUUUGACAUGGUCGUAAAAUGCUGGAUGAUAUAACUCAAGACAGACAUUCAAAGUGGUUCUCGAGAUUCUCCAUCCAUCGCUCUUUUUUGUGGAGAGAAAUAGUGAGGGAAGAAAGCGCGACCAAGCCUUGUACGUGUAUGUAUGUGUUUUCUUUUAAAAGGAAAAAAAAAAAAAAUUGGUUCACCACUUUGAGGACAUGAUUUGCCAGCAAUUGUUGUAUGGUAUAUAUGCUGGUUGAUGCACAUAAUGCUCUUUUUUUUUUUUUUUAAAAAAAAAGAAGAAGAAGAAGAAGUCAGCUUCGGCAUUGAAAUCCCCUAUUAUUUGUUAUUGGCAUCAUGUCAAGUUCUCGAGUCAAACUCUUUUGUUGACGUUUUUACGAGGUGCUUGUGUUGCGUGGAAGUGAUUAAUGCACCCAAAAAGGGGAAUAGCUCAAGUUCAUACAACGAAAUGGCUCGGUGUGGCUUGGUCACUUUCUAUGUAUAAAGUUUCUAUGCUUGUGCAGAUUCGGCCCAGAAGGCACCAUCCUGUAUAUGCAGUUCUCACUGGUGGUUAUUUCACGAACGAAUGUUUUGACUUUGAAUCAGUAAAAUUUGAUGCUCGAGUCAGCCAUCUAGUUCUAGUGCGGUAAAAACAGUAAAUUAAUUUCUACCCCAAUGGACUCCAUCCAAUUUCCCUCCCCACAAAUUUUCUGAUUUUUUUUUUUUUGGGUGUUUUACUCGUAUAUGUGACGGCGCAUACCUAAAUCAUAUAUAUAUAUAUAUAUAUUUGUGUGAUACUACUAUCUAUGACUAUCUUAGGUGGGAUAGGAAAAAUUUAAAUAUUUUGUUGGGACAAAAAGUGGGCCCCAAAAUGUUCUUCUGUAGCUACCUACUAUCGUAAGCUGCUGGCGAUCAAAACUUGGGAGCAGUUAGCAAGUAGCAGUAGUAGUUACUAUGUAGCACGUUUUCAAGAUAUUCUAUGUUGAACAGUUUGCUUCUUGAUCUCAAAGAAGGUGAUGAUCCAUAUAUAAAGAAGCGGAUGACGCGAGCGGGGUAUAGUUAUGGUUUUGAGGAUUGGCAGACGUCAGCAUUGGCCAUUUUUCAAAGAGGAAAAAUAAAAUAAAAACUUGUAUCAGCCUCAUGCUCAUGCAGUCAUAUUCCUUGAAGAGGCAGUCAUGAAUGUGUGAAAUUGGAAUGUAAGUGCUAUCCCUCACGUCGUAUUACUCGUAGUCAUUUUCCGAUGAAAGGGAUGGAGGGAAUUUCAUUCCCAAAAGCUGCCCCAAAAGCUAACGGAUGCUAUAUUGAGAAAACGCUAAAAGGGACCGGUCACUUGUGUUCUUGAAAGACUUGAGAUUUACUUUCUUCAGUUUUCUCUCAUAUCACAAACAACGAUUACACCACCACCACCCCACACACACACACACACACACACACAAAAACCCAAAACAAAAAAUGAUCUUUCUAUUUAUUUCAUGCAUGCAUUCGCUCAUUGCAAAACCUCGACUACUUCUCUUCCAAAAUCUAAUUACAAUUUCUCUAACGACUGUUUUAUAUAUAGACAUACGUUAACAUACAUUUUAAGUGUUAUAUUUUUGAAAAUAUGAGAUUAAUUAGAAAAAGUACAUAAAUGCAAGAAAGGAUAAUAAUUAUUAAUAUAUGUAUAUAUAUAAUAAGUUAGGUGAAUACUAGGUGUGCUAACGAGUUUAAAAAAAAAAACCCCAUCUAAAUAUGCAGCCGCCAUGCUCACAUUCCUUGUCAAAUACAUGGUAAAAUAGUCUUUUUGAUGUGACAUAAUUAUUUAAGGACAUCAAUCACAUUCCUGGUCUGCAUAACAAGAUAUUUAGGAUUGAAAAGAGGAAAAAGGACUAAUUAAUUGGCAAUAAUUUUUUUUUUUUUAAAAAAUCAAGUAAAGAAGUGAAGCAAUUAAAAUACUAUCAAGUAAAGGAUUGAACAUCAAAUUGUAGUUGAAGGUAGGAGGAAUGUGAUGUUGAUCCGUAUUAUUCCUCUUGUUAUUACUACUAUUACCCAUUAGUCUAUUAUUACUUUGUGAUACAUGUCUGCUACCUAGUCAUGGAGAGAACGAGAAAGACUAUAUAGCAUCUGUUUAGUAUUGAAUGAGACAUUGGUGUAGCAGUUUUGUAUUGUUUAGAUCCAUGUGAUAAGUACCUCACGCUUUCGGAAACAUUACGGAAUAGUAAUACUGCACUAGAGAGACACAUUGGUACGGGCAUGUACAAAUAGAGUAACUAAUUAAAACUAGCAAUGUCAUGAGUAGUUAAUUAAUUGAGGGUGUGCUGUGUUUAUUCACGGUUUAGUGGGUUACAUCUACAACUAAUUAAUGGAUUCACAAUCAUAACUGUUUGAAAACUUUCUUCUCCAAAUAUAUUAUAGCAGUAAUUAAUUAAGAAUCUCAGAUCAUUUCUCACACGAGAGACAUCAAAGUCAAAUGGUCGCUUCGUUUUUGCUUGAACAAAAUGAUACUAAUAUGUACUUGUAUGAUAAAUUACAAAUUCUAGUUCGCUCAACAAUUUCAUGCGCCAUACUAGCAAUAAGCUUCAAUCAAUAUAGCCAAAAUAUCCAUCCUAAAAAAAAAAAGAUUAUUAUUUCCUAAACUGACAGUGUAUACACUAUCAGCGUUGAAUGAAUGAUAACUAUACAAAUUUUGAUUUUGAAAUUUAAUUUUUACACAUGUGUCAUAGAUCCAACGGUGAUAGUGUAUUUACUCUCAGUGUAUAUAAGAUCUACUCAAAAAAAAAAGAAAGAAAAAACCUCCACUGUACUCUCAUUCUCUCCUGUGAUUCAAUCUAAUGUUCUAAACACUUCAUUGCUGUUUUUCAAUGUUCCUUGACUUGACUUCAGAUUGAGAUUGAAAAAGGUCGAUAAAACUUUUUGAAAGGUAAAUAAAUAUUCCAUGGUUUAUCCUUCUUCUAUAUUUUUAGCACUGUCAAAAGCCAAUACUCAUUAGGUCGAUAGUAACAAUUGAUAUACCGACAAUCAGUUGUAUAUUGUAAAUGUGACGAAAGAUGCUCACAUCCAACGACAUCAGGGCUUCGCAGAAUUCCUGUUUUCUUUUCUUUCUUUGGGUGAGGUGAGGGGGUGUUUUUCACUCCACUUUGUUUACCCAGAAGCCUAAAGAACCCUAACUUGUUACUGUGGUCAAGGCAAAUCUCCAUGCAUAUAAAACAUUAUCAUAAACACUUUAGGAAAAGCUACAGCUGUUCACAAAAGUAUCGAUCAUAUAUACCGACCUACCUAAUUUUUUUAAAAAAAAUAUAUAUAUAUAUAGUCAGGAGCUGCAAGUACUGACAUGUCCAACAUGAUUAGAAAAAGAGCAUCGAAAUUUACCUAAAAUGGUGCUGAUUUUUUUAUUAGGAAAAAUUAAUUAAGCAUAUCUAAUCUAAUGCAUGAUAUGAAUUGGCGAGAAGCUGUCCAGGGAAUGCGACUGCAAGACCUCCUCAAGAAACCUUGGCAUGGACACCGUCCCUGUCUGCUUCAGACACAGAGAAGAGAAUAGUUCCAGGGCUGAUGGAUAAAUAUUCAUAUGUGCUGCCAAAAGUUUUGUAAAGAAUCAUGUUAAUGCGGGUAAUUAAGAAGAUCCUAAUUUAUCUGUAGCUAUUGGUACGCGAGUCACCACAGCCAUCAUCAUCACUCAUCACUCAUCACUCAUCGCUCAUCGGGGGACAAAAAUGAAAAGCAUGCAUUAACAAAUACUAUAAAAAUACUGUGCAGUCCUUUAGGGGAGAAUCUUAGGAAGUUAGGGGUUCUUGGGAAAUUAAAUACUCUUGGAGACAUGACAGUUGAUGAGAAGAGCUGAUGAGCCAAGAGAUAGAUUACUUGUACCUUCUGGAACGGAAUUUUGUUUAGCCUGUUAAUUAAUGAACAAACAAUUUUAGAUGGAAUACAUCUAAUUCCCGGAAUUUGGCUUGAUGUUUUCCACGGUCUUCGUGUUGUUCAAGAAUAUGGUUCUACAACUAGAAUAUAUAUAUUUUUUUUCACAACUCAAGGAGAUAGAGUAGAAUGAAAGAACAUGAGGAAAUUGGCAACGAAUCCCCUCCCUGGCACUAGCUAGUAGUGUUUGUUAUUUGCACUUCAAUUUGAACUAGAACGCUCGGCCUUCGCAAAGAAUAAUGGAGCCCUGCUGUUGAGAACCGAAGCACUGUUAUCAAUCCUAACGUUUUACCACACCACCUCAUUUGUUUGCUAAAUUGCAUCAUCAACACUUUUUUUAACCACCUUUUUAUUUCACAUACAUUACAUCAAAAAAAUUUACAGCAUUUGUUUCCGAAAAUUAACCUAAAUAAUCCACUAUCCAAACGCAUAUAUUUCUUGGGGCAAAUGCAGUUAAGUAAUAAAUACGGGAUUGUAGGUAAACAAGUCUUUGGGAGCUCAUGAAAACUCUAAAUUUGUAGGGGAGUCGUUUCAAACUGAAGAAAGCGUUCAGCUGUGGGGAGGGGGAAGUAAUAAAAUAAAACGAGUUGAGUGUCAUCCCUGGAAACUUCAACAUUGUGUAAUUUAUCAGCACUAAUAUCAAAUCCAUUAUAUAUAUAUAUAAGAAAAAUAGUAUGAAUUUGCUCGGUGGCCAGCAUUCAGCAAGGACAAUAUCAAUGGAUACUAGAAGAAGAUUAUGUAUGCUGGGUCGUUACGAUGCUAUGCUAUCAUUUUAAUUUUCUUUUUUUUGCGGUAGGUAAUGACUAAUUAAACAAUUGAAGGUUGAAAUUUUCAAAUUUCAAAUACAGAUGGCCAAGCUGAAAUCAAGAGCAUAUAAACAGAGGCAAUAAGACACAGUAUGAUAUUAGUAGGAAUUAGAUUUUCUUGAUUGAAGCCCACUUUAUUGAUUAAAAAAAAAAGUAGAUGCAAUGUUAUUAUAACUUUUUUGGGCAUUAAGUAGGUGUCAUGGUGGUUGGCCAUAUGUGCUACUUGGCCUUUUAAUUGCUUUAUCUUCAAACUCUAUCAUCCAGCCACAAAAAAUACCAAUUCAAGAUAUUGGAAAGAAAAAAAAGGAAAUGAGAAAGAAGAAAGACAAAAGAGCAAUCAAUAAUGAAAGAGGGGACCCUCUCUCUAUCCCUUCCCCCCUAAUGCUACUCCAUAGUAGAUCACCAUCAUCAUCAUCUUCUUCUCCUCCUCCGAUAUUUCUACCCGUUUGUAUUUAAAAAAUUUAUUAUUAUUAAUUUCUGAUGAUAUUAUAUUAACAACCUGCAUAAUCUUUAGUGGAGGGGGACAUUUCCUCGUUUUUCAGCUGUUUGUAUCUUCUGACACACUUUGAUGAUAGCAUUGAUUUUACAUAUAUGUAACGAAACAAAGACACACACACACACACACAUAGUCGCACACAUAAACCCAUCUACAUCUAUAUCUUUCUCACUCUGAAAAGUUCUUAGUAGCUCAUCAAACAACGCAGGUGCCUGGCCUGCCUGCAUCAAAUGAUUUGCAAAACAAGGUCAAAUCACUCCCCUUCUUUGAUCAAUUCGCAGGUACUUCACCCCUCCAAGUCUCCAACUAGCCAAUAGAAAGUAAAAAUAAAAAAAAAAAAGAAACGAAAAAUCCCACAGCAAGAAAGAAAGAAAGAAAAAGGGAGGAUGACAUCAAGAAAUUGGUAAAUCUUUAGCAUACAUGAGGCAAGAGUUCAUAGUAAUAUCAUGUGGGACUGGACUUCCUUUCUUUCCUUGCUUCUUAAUUUGAAGGGAGUGGAAUUUUCCUCCUCCGUCCUAUCGUAACAAUACUAAGAAAAAGAAAUGGUACCUAGCUACUCAAGUGUGUGGAUAAAUGAGUGAAUAAAGAUGAGCAUCUUUUUCUCUACCUUUUUAGCCCCAUCUCUCUUUGAUCUCUCACUCUCUCUCUCUCUCUCCCCCCACCCCCACCUCGCCCUCCAAAACACUGCCCACCUUCACUUCCGUUUUUUCCCUGUCAAGUUGGGAGGGAUAGGAAGAGUUAUUGAUUUGAGUCCGACAGCAGAGAAGUAAAGGGACUACUGAGUGAGUGAGAGAUAUAUACAUAUACAUAUACAUAUAUAUAUCAUCCCAUCUCAGCUGCUACAACAAUCUAUAGAGAGAUAUAUAAAGAUCGCCUAGGUAAGCUUGGUAUAGACUAUAGACAUAAAGGUAUGGCCUCUCUAUGGUCUUCAACUUGAUGCAUCUUUUCUCAUGUAAUUUAGCCAUAAAACUGCAUGCUCUUUUUAACCCCCUCCCUUUCUUUUUCUCUUUCUCUCUCACUCGCAAUCUGAUAUGGUUUUUUUCUGUCACUGUAUCUCAAAAUUCUUCUUACUUUGUUGCAGCAGAUGAUGUUAAUGACGGAACACGUGCCAUACGAGAGUUUCGAACCACAGGGUACGUACCAAUUAAUUUAUGAUAUAUUAACUAUGUAUACAUCAUUCCAGAUAUCUGUCUUUUCUGAUUUUCUCCUCCUCUCCUCUCCCUAUAUGUAUUGUUUCCGACUUUUCUCUCUUCUUCCCAAAUCCCGUGCUCCUUUUCAAUAUCUAAAGGAACCCUGAGUAGAAAUUAUUAGAAUAGAAACUGAAACUGAUGAUCCCAAAUCCCAAGUUAUCAUGUUCAAGAUUAAUCCUGCAGUUUGUUCCACUGAUUGAUCGACCAGCCAGGCGGCUUAGGUAUGGGGACUGUUUAUGUUAAUCAUUGGUUUAUCCUCCUCUGCAAUUUUCAGGCCUUAUCUGAUCAGAAGACUAGCUUCAAGCCUUCCGAGUCUCCACCGUCAAUUUAAGAGCUUUUUAACCUCUUUCGGAACAGUAGUCCCAGCAGCUGGAGGACCAACCGAAUGGGUUGAAUACUAUGUCGACCAACUAGGUUGUUUAAGAGCUUCAUAUGACCAACAGGUACAUACGCGCGUGUGUGUAUAUAUGUGAGUAGCAGCAAGCUAACUCGUAGUAGUAUUAUAUUUCUAUAUAAGAUGUGUGGAUGAUGGAAAUUUUUUUUUUUUUGGUUAUGGGGGUGGGUGUGUAUUCGGGGGUAUUUAACUAUUUAUUGGGAUUGGAUGUGAAAUGAAGUGAAGGCUAACGUAGUCUCUUUCCAUUGAUGUAGUACUAGUUUGUAGGAACAGGAAAAAGAAGGUAAUUCAGCAAAAAAAGAUAAAAGAGAGUCCGAUCACGAUGGCGACGUACUUUCAUGGGAAUUCGGAAAUCCAAGGAGGCGGCGGGGAUCAUGGCUUGCAAACUCUGAUUCUCAUGAACCAUGCUGGCUACGUCGGUGGAUACUCUGACACACAUCAACCGCCGCCUCACGUCCAAGUCCAAGUCCAACCACCAAGCAACUUCGUUUUCCUCAACUCCUCCAACACUCCUGGACCUUCAGCAGCACCUGGAGCCAACUCUCUGAACGUUCCCCACGCGCCACCUCCUCCUUCCCCCACGCAACAGUUUGUCGGCAUCCCUCUCACCGCCACCGCAGCUACCUCAUCCCAUGACCACCAACCUCACGCUGCGUCUGUGCAAGACAUCUCAGCCCUUCACGCCUUCCUCCCUCGCCUCCAGUACAACCUGUACAGCCCAGCCAUGGACCUUGGGGCGGCGCGUGAAGUGUCACGCGCCCAGCAAGGACUCUCCUUGAGCCUCUCUUCUCAACAGCCUGCGUACGGGUCCUUUAGGCCUGAAGGUGAAAUCCCAUCACAGCCUCUGGUUACGGCCAUAUCUCCAACUGGCGGGGAUGACGUGAGGGUUUCUGGGGGAUCAUCCUCCUCGGCCUCGGGGAUUUCCAACGGAGUGAACGGCAUGCAAAGUGUGCUAUUGAGUUCUAAGUACUUGAAGGCAGCUCAAGAGCUCCUUGAUGAAGUUGUCAAUGUUGGCAAGGGAGUAAAAAGUGGUGCGGCAACUGCUAAAGGUGCUAAUGGGCAGGCCAAGGAGAUAGGAGAGUCAUCCGAGAUGACGGCCACUGCCGGAGAAGGUCAGAAUGGAAGAGAGAACAGUGCCAAGCGCAGUGCCGAGCUUACCACCGCCGAGAGACAGGAAAUACAGAUGAAGAAAGCAAAGCUGGUUAACAUGCUUGAUGAGGUAAGGCUAUUUUUCGGUCUGUUGAUGUUGUGCUCUAUGGUGUAGAGAAGCCAAGAUUUGAUUUUGAAAGCAUGCAAGCAUAGUACUAUAAACGAUAAACUGAAAGUGAUUUUCAACUUUGAAGCAACUACGUUAAGGCUUCAACUGUGGUUUAUUUUCUUUUGUUGUGAAAACGGCCCCAAGGGUACGGAAGGCUGAGUCAGGUCUCCAUCACUUUGAGUGGGAUAUCAGAUCUUUGCAGGAGUAGCUAUCAAAUAAUCAUGAUCUCAUGAAAAUUUCCCUUCAAUAAUUCCUUUCUCGAAAAUCUAACUGGAGUUCUCUACCUUACUUUUUAAAAUUUUUUUUUUUUUAACACUACUAUUACUCCGUACUACUGGUUGAAUUUUCCGUAUAAAAAAUGAUUUUAUAACAACAAUGCCAUUUUACAGCGGGGAAGUUACAUUGGGGCCGAGAAAGGCAAAAUCCCCUCUUUUUAAGUGGAGAUAUUGGUGUGUGUAUGUCUUAAAUUCUGUCACAAUUAAUUGUUUGCUUUGAAAUCUAAUAGUAUUCUCAUUGUUUGUUUUAGGUGGAUGAGAUGAAUUGCUUGAGAGUUACAGACGCAGAAAUGAGCACAUUGACAGGUAGGUGGGGAGCUAGGGAUCGAUGAAGAAGAGCAGAAGCUGAACAAGGGAUUGCGCUCUUAGCUACUCGGUGGAAGGGGCGGACAUCUUAGCUGCUGGUAUUAUGUGAAUGAGGGGGCCAUCUGGUAUUGGUCCCUGCACUCUUUUCCACUGCUGAUGACAACACCACGAAAACACGACGGGACGCACACACCACACACACUGAACCCACGCGGCCAUCGUCCCCUGUGAAGGUGCCCCAAGGCCCAGUGACACGAGCACGAGCCAAGAGAUUCAAGGAGUCCCUUCAAGCCUUGGUACGUGCAGUCCAAACCCAAGAGAAACCGGUCAUUGAAGGAAUUGAGUUGGAAUAUCCUUGCACGACUACUAAAAUGCUGCUUACAAUUGAAGAUGCAAAUGUUCAAGCUCCAAACGGCGGGCUUAGCCGCAGUUAAGUACCCUCGCUGAGCCGUACGGGGGUCUCGCUGUCCGAUCAGCGAGUCGGGGGUCCAAGGGGGCGACGCGCCCCUGGCUUGGGGGCCCGGGGGCGCAGCGAAGCCCCCGGUGGGGGUUCGGGGGCAACGCCACCGAAGCUUAUGAUCUAUAGUUAGUUGGGCUAGCUUUCGGUCAAGUGAAGGCCCAAGGGGCUGGCCGAACUUUCCUUGUUAUUUUUCCAGUUUAUUAGGUCUUAGUCACGGCUAUUAAUAGCCUCAAGCCGCAUGUUACAUUCAGUUUUUGAGAGUAUUGAAUAAAAUUUCCAGAAUUUCGUCCAUUCCUUGUGGGAAAUUCCCUUAGCUUGUAAAAGCUAAGUUGAACAUCCUAGAGUUGAUCCUAGGCUGUUCUUGACUUAUCAAUCAAGCACACAUACUUGAUUGUGUCGUCCUCUACCGUUAAAUCUGUUCUUGAGUGGUCCAAGUUCGGGUUCAACUCCGUCAAAUCUUCAUCGUGUUCCUCUAGAUCCGAAGUAGCUUCCGCGUCUCGUAUCAGCUGGUAUCAGAGCUAGUUAGAGGUAUCACGAAUAUCCUUUUUAUCGUUUUUAGAUCUAUUUUAGUCUUCUAAAUUCGUAGCUCAAGUGCUCGGGUUUGUCAAGUCCGAAAUCUGUCUUUGUUGUUUCCUUGUCAGAAAUCUGUCUUGGUUGUUUCCUUGUCAGAAAUCUGUCUUUGUUGUUUAGUUGUUGUCCGAAAUUUUCUGUCCAGUUUUGUCUUGUGUUUAUGUUCUGUUUAAAUCCAGAAAAAAAAAAUCUCUUGUGUUGCAUACCUUAUUGUCAUUCCCUUGAGUCGUUGCUGGAAUUAAUUGCUGGGUUGCCGAAUCUGUUUGCACUUGUUUCUUGAACCUUUGUGUUGUUGCUUUGCAAAACUCGAACAUCAAAACCUUAUUGGGGAAGUCUUGAGCUUCUUGGAUCAAAGAGGUUAAUCUUGGCAGUCUUGAAACCUGAAAUAAACCUUCAACCGUGUUCUUGUUUUCAUGGAACUUUGAUCUUGAAACCAAAUCUGUCCAAGUUGUUUACGUUAAUUGCUGUGAAAUUGUGGUCUAAGCUAGCUGGCUAUUGUGUGAAAACACCCCAACAGAAGUCAAAAAAAAUUUCAAGAAAGACGGCUCUAGUUUCCAAUUCUUGACCAGCCUUCAAGUUUUACCAAAUCUGAUUCAAACUUGGACUUUCAAAUCUGAACAGCCCUAGUCUUGGUCAGCAUUCAAGCCACCAAAUCUGAUUCAAACUUGGACUUCCAAAUCUGAACAACAUCCAAUUCUUGACAGCCUACAAGUUUACCAAAUUUUGUGCAAAAUCUGACUUCCAAAUCUGACCAGCCCCAAAAUUUCGAAUUUGGACCACUUGGGACUCCCAAAUCUGACCAAACUCCACGGUUUCUAAUCUUGGCAACCCCAAGUGUCCAAAUCAGAUCACGGACCAAAAAGACCACGGACCAGCAGCUCAACACAUUCCAGAAAUUUGGGUUUCGGGUAGAGUUUUCUAGGAUUUUCAAAAUUUCAGCAUUCAAGUUAAUUGUCUUACUUUCUUUUGAGUCGUUAGUUAUUGUCCAGCUAUAUUCUGAGUCUUGAGUCGUGUCUAGGUCUUCAGUCAUUCACCUCCACUUAUUGCUACUAGCUUGUGUGUCACUUGUUGACUAGUCAAGAACGUACACUGCGGUGACGCCUCGUUUGUUCAACUCGAGCAACUAGCAAGCCAAGGAAUUGCUUGGUAAGAUUAUUAGAGAGUGAUACACUUGAGUGAAACACGAGUGUGAGUGACCUAUACAUUGUAUUAAAAAAAAAAAAAAAGAGAGGAAAUCGUUUUUGUUUAUUUGUUUUGCAGGUGAACUAAAUAUGUCUAGUGGAGUGGGUAGCCAAACCAUGGACAUCAAACUACAGUUGGAAGCCAUGAUGGGGGAGUUCAAACGAUUGCUUAAGAAUGAAAUUGAACCAUUGCAUGAUCGAAUUGAUCAGUUGGAGAACUCGAGACCUCCACCUACCCCGAGUAAGGGCAAAGAAUCGGCAUACUCAAACGAUGAAGAGGAAGCGUUUGAGGGAAGGUACCAAAAUGAUCAAAGGUUCCAACGUCGAGGAGAUGACACCAUUAAAGGUGUCAAACUCAAGAUUCCCUCAUUCCAAGGCAAGUCGGACCCCGAGGCGUACUUGGAAUGCGAACGAAAAAUUGAGUUAGUCUAUGAAUGCCACACCUAUACGGAGGAGCAAAAGGUGAAACUAGCAGCCGUAGAAUUCACUGACUACGCCUCCAUUUGGUGGGACCAACUUAGACUAAGCCGAAGGAGAAAUCGUGAGAGACCUGUGGAAACUUGGGAGGAAAUGAGGAGUCUGAUGAGAAAAAGGUUUGUUCCGAGCUACUAUAGUUGAGAUCUACACCGUCGGCUACAAGCUCUCAACCAAGGGUCCAUGUCAGUUGAGGAUUAUUACAAGGAGAUGGAAAUGGCCAUCAUGAAGGCGGAUUUGCGUGAAGAUGGAGAGGCCACUAUGGCUCGUUUUCUACAUGGAUUGAGGCCCGAGAUUGCCGAAGUAGUGGAACUCCAACACUACCUCGACAUGAAUGAAAUGCUCGAGAAGGCGGUUACAAUUGAACGACGCCUCAAGAGGAGGGGUACUGCGCGACAAAGCACUACUUAUCCAGCUGGAAAUUGGCGCACUUCUCAACCAAAAAGGGAGGAGAAAGCCGCAGCUCCUUCUUACCCUCCAAGGCCGAAUGGCCUCCCUUCCAAGGCAACGCCCAAGCCUGACUUUAAGGCUAAUAAUGCAGCUACCAAACCGCGUGGUCGAGACACCAAGUGUUUUAAGUGUCAAGGAUUUGGCCAUAUCGCUUCUCAAUGCCCCAGCCAAAGGACCAUGCUGAUGUUGCCAAAUGGGGAAAUUGUAUCAGAUGAGGAAGAGGAGUACGAGGGGAUACCGCCUCUAGAAGAGGAAGAGAAUGAAUCGAGUGAGGAGAUACCUACGCAUGAGGAGAUUGGAUGCCUAGUGGUUCGAAAAGUCCUCACUACCCGCGCCAAAGAGGAGGAACUGGAGGUACAACGGGACAACCUUUUCUACACAAGGUGUCAUAUCAAGGAUAAGGUGUGUAGUGUUGUUAUUGAUAGUGAGAGUUGUGCCAAUGUCGCUAGUCUACUCAUGGUAGAAAUGCUAGGGCUCCAAGUUAUCAAACAUCCAAGACCUUAUCGCCUUCAAUGGUUGAACAAUGAAGGGGAAGUCCGCGUGUUUAGACAAGUAAAAGUGCCAUUCCGAAUUGGCAAGUAUGAAGACGAGGUUACUUGUGAUGUCGUGCCAAUGCAAGCAAGUCACCUCAUUCUUGGACGGCCUUGGCAAUAUGAUCGCGAUGUCGAAUUCAAGGGAAGAGCUAAUAAAUAUGUCUUUACUCAUUGCAAUAGAAAGGUGACACUUGUACCUCUCACCCCAAAACAAGUGUAUGAAGAUCAAAUGAGGCUCCAAAGGGAGUAUGAGCUAGAACUUGAGAGGAAAAAGCGAGAGAAAAGUGAGGAAGAAAAAGGAGAGAGUAGGGCCGAAACCCUAGGGAAGAAAAAGGCAACAAGUGGGUCGGCUAUGAGAGAAGAAAAUAAGGGGAAGCUAAGCUUGCUAGCAAAAGCCAAAGAUGUAAGGCGAGCUUUGUCUUCCAACCAACUCUUACUUGUGCUUGUGUGCAAAGAAGAGUUGGUCACUUCAUCCAUACCCACUGACUCCUUGCCUUAUACUAUUUUACCUCUCUUGCAGGAAUUUGAGGACAUAUUUCCUGAGGAUGUACCUGAUGGACUACCACCGCUAAGGGGAAUCGAGCACCAAAUCGAUCUCAUUCCUGGAGCACCAUUGCCUAACAAACCAGCCUAUAGAAUGGGUCCUGAGGAAACAAAGGAAUUGCAAAGGCAAGUGGAGGAAUUGCUAAGGAAAGGUUGGGCUAGAGAAAGUCUAAGUCCAUGCGCUGUACCAGUGAUUCUCGUGCCAAAGAAAGAUGGAGCGUGGAGAAUGUGCACCGACUGUCGAGCAGUCAAUGCAAUCACGGUAAAAUAUCGUCACCCUAUCCCUAGGUUAGAUGAUAUGUUAGAUGAAUUGCAUGGUGCCAUUAUAUUCACUAAAAUUGAUUUGAAAAGUGGUUACCACCAAAUAAGAAUGAAAGAGGGAGAUGAGUGGAAAACCGCUUUCAAAACUAAACAUGGUCUAUACGAGUGGUUAGUAAUGCCAUUUGGCUUAACUAAUGCACCUAGUACCUUCAUGCGUUUGAUGAACCAUGUUUUGAGACCUUUUCUUGGGAAAUUUGUAGUGGUUUACUUUGAUGAUAUUCUGAUUUAUAGUAGAAGCUUAGAGGAACACCUUGAGCACCUCAAAGCCAUCUUUGCAGUACUUCGAAGGGAAAGGCUAUAUGCCAACCUUAAGAAGUGCACAUUUUGCACUGAUCGUGUUGUGUUUCUAAGAUAUGUUGUAAGUGCGCAGGGCAUUCAUGUAGAUGAAGAGAAGAUUAAGUCCAUCCAAGAGUGGCCAACACCUACCUCUGUAAGUGAUGUGCGCUUUCAUGGAUUAGCAAGCUUCUACCGUCGCUUUGUGAAGGAUUUUAGCACCUUUGCUGCACCUCUUACCGCGGUCAUAAAGAAGAACGAGAAGUUCUUUUGGGGGGAAGCCCAAGUUAAGGCUUUCCAAUUGUUGAAACACAAACUCACACAUGCACCACUCCUUGCAAUACCUAACUUUGAUCUCACUUUUGAAAUGGAAUGUGAUGCAUCAGGUGUAGGAGUAGGAGCCGUACUCAUGCAAGGAGGGAGACCGAUUGCCUACUUUAGUGAGAAAUUAAAUGGCGCGGUCCUCAACUAUUCAACUUAUGACAAGGAGAUGUUUGCCCUCGUACGUGCUUUGGAGACAUGGCAACACUACCUACGUGCCCGGGAAUUCGUCAUCAAAACUGACCAUGAGUCUCUCAAGCACCUAAAAGGACAACAAAAGCUGAGCAAACGGCAUGCCCGAUGGGUAGCCUUCAUCGAGUCUUUUCCAUACGUCAUCAAAUACAAAACAGGUAAGUCUAAUGUAGUAGCUGACGCUUUAUCUCGGAGACACAUUUUGCUCACUGCCUUAGAUGCUAAACUCCUAGGCUUUGAACUCAUGAAGGAGUUGUAUAAGGAUGGCUUGGAUUUUGCCAACGCUUAUGCGAAUUGGGGAAAAUCUGACUUUGAAAAGUUCUUUGUACAUGAUGGGUUCUUAUUUUAUCUUACCAAGCUGUGCAUUCCUCGAGGGUCCAUACGUGACUUACUUAUUCAGGAGUCACAUAGUGGUGGACUAAUGGGACACUUUGGUGUCACCAAGACAUUAGCUGUAUUGCAGGAACACUUCCAUUGGCCUCGCAUGCGCAAGGACGUGGAGAGGAUUGUUGAAAGAUGUGGUGUGUGCCACAAAGCUAAGUCUCGGGUCAACCCAAACGGUUUGUAUACUCCUUUACCCAUACCUCACCACCCUUGGGUUGACAUCUCCAUGGAUUUCGUGCUUGGUUUACCUCGUUCAAAGCGUGGUCAUGACUCUAUAUUUGUUGUGGUAGAUAGGUUCUCCAAAAUGGCUCACUUUAUUGCAUGUCAUAAGACGGAUGAUGCUUUACACAUUGCUGAUUUAUUCUUUAAAGAGGUUGUUCGUUUGCAUGGCAUACCUAGGACAAUAGUAUCCGAUAGAGAUGUCAAGUUUUUGAGCUAUUUCUGGAAAUCUUUAUGGGGUCGGUUGGGAACCAAACUGUUGUUCUCUACCUCUAGUCAUCCUCAAACGGACGGACAAACUGAGGUAGUCAAUAGGACUUUGUCCACACUCCUACGUGCAAUCAUAAAGAAAAAUAUCAAGUCAUGGGAGGAGUGUCUACCUCAUGUUGAGUUUGCAUACAAUAGGGUUGUGCAUAGUGCUACACAAUUCUCGCCUUUUGAAGUUGUGUAUGGUUUGAACCCCUUAACUCCCUUAGAUUUGUUGCCAUUACCUUCUUCUGAGCAUAUGAACUUAGAUGGCAAGAAGAAAGCUGAGUUCGUGAGAUCAUUACACGACAAGGUUCGUACCAACAUCGAGAGGAGGACGGCCCAAUAUGUCCAACAAGCUAAUAAGCACAGGCGCAAGCUUGUCUUUGAACCAGGUGAUUGGGUCUGGUUACAUUUGCGCAAGGAGAGGUUUCCAAAACAAUGGCAAAGCAAGCUGUCACCAAGAGGAGAUCGGCCUUUUCAAGUUAUUGAGCGCAUCAACGACAAUGCAUACCGCUUAGAUCUGCCUGGUGAGUAUACUGUUAGUGCUACAUUCAAUGUUGCUGAUCUAAGUCCAUUUAUUACAGGGGACGAGUACGAUUUGAGGGCAAAUCCUUUUCAAGAGGAGGGGAAUGAUGCGGUUGAGCACGAGGCCCAAAGUGUACAAGUAGACCCUGUGAAGGUGCCCCAAGGCCCAGUGACACGAGCACGAGCCAAGAGAUUCAAGGAGUCCCUUCAAGCCUUGGUACGUGCCGUCCAAACCCAAGAGAAACCGGUCAUUGAAGGAAUUGAGUUGGAAUAUCCUUGCACGACUACUAAAAUGCUGCUUACAAUUGAAGAUGCAAAUGUUCAAGCUCCAAACGGCGGGCUUAGCCGCAGUUAAGUACCCUCGCUGAGCCGUACGGGGGUCUCGCUGUCCGAUCAGCGAGUCGGGGGUCCAAGGGGGCGACGCGCCCCUGGCUUGGGGGCCCGGGGGCGCAGCGAAGCCCCCGGUGGGGGUUCGGGGGCAACGCCACCGAAGCUUAUGAUCUAUAGUUAGUUGGGCUAGCUUUCGGUCAAGUGAAGGCCCAAGGGGCUGGCCGAACUUUCCUUGUUAUUUUUCCAGUUUAUUAGGUCUUAGUCACGGCUAUUAAUAGCCUCAAGCCGCAUGUUACAUUCAGUUUUUGAGAGUAUUGAAUAAAAUUUCUAGAAUUUCGUCCAUUCCUUGUGGCAAAUUCCCUUAGCUUGUAAAAGCUAAGUUGAACAUCCUAGAGUUGAUCCUAGGCUGUUCUUGACUUAUCAAUCAAGCACACAUACUUGAUUGUGGCGUCCUCUACCGUUAAAUCUGUUCUUGAGUGGUCCAAGUUCGGGUUCAACUCCGUCAAAUCUUCAUCGUGUUCCUCUAGAUCCGAAGUAGCUUCCGCGUCUCGUAUCAGAAGGGAGUGGGGAGGGAUGCUUUUGAUUAACAUCCAAUUGCUAAUAACUUGGGAAGAAGCAGAUAUGCGCUACUUCGGUUUAAACAAUGCAGUAGCAUAUGAAGGCAUAUUGCUUGAAUCCUUGUAAUCCUUAAAAAGAUACUAGGACUCCCUCCGCACUGAUGAAAUUAUCAAGACUCAUCUACGUGAUUUGUGAUCCUUCUAUAGACUAGAGUUUAUUCCUGCUCUGCAUUAGUCCCCCAUACAAGGUAUGAGGAAAGCAAUGAAGUCUCUAUCUGUGGACUGUGGAGUUUUGAGUCGAAUACCAUGUUUAAUUGCAAGGCUUAUUUCACAUUGUAUUUGGUUUCGUGGGAUCAUGCCUUAUUGGUUAAUUUGUGUAUACUAAUGCCAAGAAUUCGUAGGUAGAAAAUGCAUAACAGUUUUCCAAUCUUUUCUGUAAUUUGGUCAGUAGUUUUGCCUAGAGUAGUCUGUAUAAAGCUAAUACACUGAUUCUUAUCAAUUUUCCUGUUUAGUCAUAAAUAUUUGUGUUAUUUGUUCACAAAGGUUUUGUAUUAUUGAGAAGGAUUGGAAGUAAUAUGCCAUUAUGCAUUACCAUUUUCUUCCCGAAUGAACUAUUUUCUCAUCAUGUUUCCUGCUCACUAGAAGAUUAUGCGUACUUCUUGUCUGUGGAUUGAAGAUAGUGAACGUAGUCACUUAAUGAACCACGACCCCAAAAUUCUAUUGCUUCAGCUUAAGUGGUUGAGUUUCAUGCUAGGGUUGGAUGUGGUGACGACAAUAUCAGCAAUCCCUACAUAUAAACCAGCUGAAAGAAUCCGACAAUACAAUGAUCUUGCGCAGUUCCUUGGAGAUGAAAGAGCAAAGAUUGCUCGUGCAAUCUGGAAUAGACCCCUGAAGACCCUUUAUAUCAGUGACUGUGGAGAACUCAAUGUCACUAAGCCAACCCUUUUCCGUAGUCUUCCUUAGCACAUUGUUUAUUUGGUCUGUCUCCAUUCUUGCAUGCAGAGUACGCAUUUCUCAUUCGUUGUUAAUACUCUCUGCUCAAUCAAAUUCAUUGUACAUUACAAUUCACAGAAUGAAGAAUAUAAUGUAAAUCUAGGAGACUCUUUGAGUUGACCAUGGUUCAAAGACGAACUCGGCCGAGUCAAUCAUCAGAAUGGAGCUCUCCAUUCCGAUACCAAGACAAGAUGACUGCAAGAUACAUGGAUCGCCGAGAAUUCGGCCGAAUCACUGAGAACUCGGUCAAAAAGUUUCCAACACGGAUAGAAACAGUCGAAUCACCCCGAGUUUAGCACAUUUUGUUUAUAUUAUUUUGUUUCUUUUGCUAAUUUUUUAUUAUUUUUGUUUAGCAUAUUAUUUUAUAUUAUUCACAAUUUUUAGAAUGUUAAAUGAUUCAAAAUUUGCAUAUCACCAAAACUGCGACUGAUAUACCGAAAUUGACGUGGAACGAUUCGGACCGCGAUGGCAACCGUAACCGCAACUUUGAACCAGGAGUUGACAAGUCCAAAGAUAAGCUGCUACAUUAUCUUCUUUAUUCUGACCAUCUUUUCUUUGUGGUUGCCAUUGAGUAGUGGAGGUGCUGAAGGCAUCCAAGUCAAAUUUAACACCGUCCAUCUGCGUCACGUCCAUUCCUGGACUGGACUGGCGGGCCUGGUCUGCUGUUAAUGGUAGCGGACUUUGAAGCAGAGAAAUAAGUGCAUUAAAACGAAGUUUGUAGCUUCUGAAACAAAAUUGGCCCCUCAAGCGAGAAAAUAUGUGCCCGUGACAAUGUCCAACUGGUCCCGAAAACCUAACUUAUUUGGUAGGAACGUUAACCAAGGCACUGUGAGGUAGACACAGGCGACAAUUCUAGAAUUGCAGGUGCGAUUCUUUGGAAGGGUAGAACCAUUACAGUCCUAGAAUUAUUGAUUAUGACAUCUCUCAUAGGACGGCUCUUGUUUACAGUUUCAGAACCCCUUAUUGCGGUUUCCAUUUCGAUUCUACUUCUUCACGGUUCCAGUUUUGGCUCUUUAUGGUUAUGGCUUAGAUUUCUUAUAAUUACCCUUAGUUAGUUAUCGUUACAGAUUUUGAUAUGAAAGUGAUCUGACGGUGAAGAAAAUACGGUGAAGAAAAUACAUUCAGUUCUUGUUUGAUUUAAAUAUGUAGCCCAAUAAGCCCAACACUGGUCUAACACCUGUGGAGUUGUGACCAUUGCCACGCGACCUUGUGAGUCUGUAGAAAAUACUAACAGGGGGCUCCACCGACCCUCCCCCUCCAACAAAAAAAAAAAAAAGAAGAAGAAGAAGAAGAAGAAGAUGAAAGUUUGGAUGAGUAAUUGAUGAGCAGAUAAGAUUCAGAAAGUACAAGAAAGGGGACCACUGACACAUUGCCAAACGGGGCCUUGCUAGAUAUGUCUAAAAAGGUAAAGGCGAUCGUUAUAAACGAGGACGAUCAGGAAUCGCCAAGUAUUUUUUUAUUGCAUGCAUCAAACUGGCAAUGAUGAAGGGCAACACAGGUUUCAUGGAAAGGUUAACUGUUCUCAAAAUUAGUUUUUGACAGUGGGAGAAUGAAGGCUUUGAUGGUGAACGGAAAUUAUGAGAGAGGAGAUCCAAAAGGGACCACUGACAUUUAAGAGUGGUUCUGUUGAUAGCUUUUUUCAUGCUUGGGCUUUGGGAUGCCAAAGUAAACACCGAGAUGGAACUGACUACAGGGAGACAGUCACAAGACAUUAUUGUUUGUUUCAAAUCAUGCUGCCAUAAAAACCAAAUUCGUGUGGCUGAAAGGAAAUUUCUAUGUGGAAAAAAAAUAUAUAAUUAAAGGGAAAGGGACCACGAAGUCUUGAUAGAUUCCUUCCCUUUGAACAAAAAAAAAAGAAUGCUUCUCGAGUGCUCACCAUUUUUCUUGGAUCAUGUUUUUCUUUAAUUAGACAAAAUAACUUUUCCAUUCUCGAGUCAUAAUUUUCCAAAUAAAUCUGGACCGCGACUCAAACCCCACGAAUUUGCCUGCUAAGGACAUUUACGAUUCUAAGAAAAAUUUUUGGGGUAAAUGGAGAUUGCAAAUCCUAUAAAAGAAAAGGAGAGAAAGGAUGCUCGAGAAUCAAACUAAGAAAUUCACGACUAAUCUCCUCUCAAGUACCAUUUAAGUUGGAUCUUAAAGACGGUUAUUAGAAAAUUCGGUCCGGCUAAUGAGUGCCAUUAAGCACGCUUUGAUAGGAGUUUCAAGUAUUAGUUUUUUUAGAACUUUAUAGGAAAGAGUAUAAAUGCAAGGUACGAUAAUUAUUAUAAAUAUACGUGUUCAUGUGACAAAGUUAGGUAUAAUUUAAGCAUUUCAACAAGUACUAACAGAGUUGAUUCCAGCAAAGUUUUACAUUGGAUGAACGCAUGAUUAGUAAGGCUAAAAUGUGUUAGUUUGGGAAGUGAAUCUAAUUGAACAGUUGUACAUAUACUUCCUUGUAACUUGUUACAUUCACCUGUAGUUGUACGAGUAGUUUUGAUGAUACUGCUGGUGCAUGCUAAUUUGCACAAUAAAUAUUCAGAUGGAUUUAGCCCUUUAUGCCCCAAAACGGGAAGAAAAAAAAAAAAGAAGAAGAAAGAUUUGCCUUAUCCUUAUUCUUUGUGUGAAGGGGAUUGGAAUUUCUCGCUUUUCAUUUUCUUCUAUUUUCACUUGUUCCUUCGCUAUGGUUAAUUGAACUAGUGCGUUUUUGUUUUUACGGUAAACAUUUGUUAUCAUUUAUCAGAUUAUAAUUUAUGACAACCAAAGGGCUCUUGGUAGAAUUUUAUCCAUCCAUUUGCCCCGAAUAUUUGGACAGUGAUUAAUUUAGGCACUUUCCCACAAAAUCCAAAGGAGAAAAGCCGCCGCCACAUCCACAUUGACGACUGUUGAGCACUUGAAACUCUCUUUUCUUCCAAUUUUGAGCACCUGCACCCACUCGUCGCAUCACUUUUGGAGAAAGGGUGAAAGCAUAUUCCUUAUGGUGGUCGAUACACUAGGCCGUCACUCCCACUUCCUGAAGAUGACUGAAUUUCUCAAAAUAUAAUAUAACUGAAUGUGCAUACGUAUUUUUUUUUUUUUUUACUCAUUUGCUCUGUCCUCGGAGAGAUUUAAGCCGUCUCCUAUAAUAUAUCUUUUAUUUUUCUUGGUUUUUUCAUUAAUUUAACUCAAGAUGACAUCAAAGGGCUAAUUAUACUUUUCUGGGAGAUGGUAUGACCAUGCUUAAAUAUUAAUUUAUCUUUCCGCCAAAAAAAAAAAAAAGAUUGGUUUGAACGGCUGGUUUUCAUUUUUUUUUUCCCCGGAUGUUGUUAUGGUCCGGAUAGACCAACCUCUUCGUCGUAAUAUGAUUGCUGAAUUCUUUUAUCCCAGGAGAAAAUCUAUCAUAGUUUUCUUUUCUUUUGUUAGGCCACCGAUUCCGGUUCGAAAAUUGCUUGUUUUGAUUUCUUUAAAAGGUAGAACCAGAACCGAGCAUUACAAGAAUGGUUACAGUUACGACGGUUCUGAAACCUUCGACUCCCACCCAGGUAGAGCUGUUAAGUCAAUCGAGUAGCUCGAAAGCUCGUUAGAGCUCGGCUCGUUAAGCCUCGAGCUCGGCUCGUUAAUUUUGGUUAACGAGUCGAGCUCGAGCUCGAAACAUGCUCGUUUAGUUAACGAGCCGAGUAAGCUCGGUUCGUUUGAUACUCGAGUAGCUCGUUAGAGCUCGUUAAUAAAGGGCAUAUUUGUCAUUUUAGAAAUCAAAAUUAUAAAAAUUAAAAAUUAUAGGUUUUUAUUAAGGUUAAUUUGCACGAGCUCGAGCUCGAGCUCGUGAAACUCGACUCGUUUGUGAUAAACGAGUCGAGUUCGAACACAUUUUAAAACUCGUUUUCCUAACGAGCUCGAGUCAAGCUCGGCUCGAAUUAAACUCGAGUCGAGCUCGGCAACCAAAUACUCGGCUCGACUCGGUUCGAUUAACAGCUCUACACCCAGGUUUCAUUUACGAUUUAAACUUGAACCAUGACCCUGUCUCAACAUCGUUCAUAGGUUAUGGUAGUGUUAUACUAGAAAACAUGCAAGCAGUCAAGCAACGGGUCUUACUCAGCGAUUGUAGUAACAAAAUCACGGUACCGGUAUUAAGUGCAUAACUUCCUCCUCACAUGGGCCCAAUUUUCCAGUCUUAUACAACAAAUUUGGCUUGAUCUAAAACACAAAUGUCCUGUGCCCCUUAUGGACAGCUCGGUUGGUCACGAAAGCCUCCUUAGGAACCGUUGUCCAGUCCCACCAGGAUUCGCGUCUCAUGAUGACCGUGUUCGAGGGGUUGGGGCAUCUCCUCUCGGAUCGCAGGGGAUUAGUCGGGUCCAAGGCCGGGAUACCCCUGCGUCUGAAAAAAAAAGAAAAAGAAAAAGAAAAAUAGAACACAAAUGCCCUACGCCUAGAAGAUAUUUUGUUAUUGAAAAUAACUGUUCAUUAGCGCAUAUGCUACACAAUAAUCUACGAUCUGUAUAGUUCGGCCAUGCAUGGGGUGCUGCUGCCAUAUUACAUAAACAAAUGUUUCAUCGUAAGGAUUCCAUCAUCACGAUUCUUAACUAGGAAAGAUAGCUUUCCAGACAAAUUAUCUUCCCUCCCCUUUUUUUUUCUUUUUAAGUAAAAAUUAUCUCUACGUUCGAAGUUGUGCGUCACCAUCGCGCAUGAGAUCUGUCACCAAAUUAAAAUGAAAGGCAAGGGAAAAUGUAGGUUACUAAUUCAACCAAUAUAGGUGUAGAAUAAGUAGAUAAUGACGAAGUAUCAAGCAUUAUUUUUGAUCCUCUGUAACCCCACAAAUCUCAACCAAACAAAAAUUAAGGACACCAAGAAGAUGACAAAUUUCCAGGCUGAGCUAAUCGUUCUACAUUUUCGCGUAGAAUCGGUCAAAGUACGCCUUAAUCAGCUUACUCCUAAAGAGAGAUAUAUAUAUAUAUAUAUAUAUAUAUAUAUAUAUAUAUAAGCGGAACACAUAGCGCUCAAAAUUGAAAGGUACUAAAACAAAUGAAUUGAACCAGACUCUCUCCAUCACUUUCCUCCCCCAACCAUUUUUCUUUGACGGUUAUAACUGUUAAUAAAAAGACCUUUUGUUCUUGCAGAUUGAGAAGUAAUUUAAUUAGUUAUGCAGAGUCUUGUCAAGAGUCCACAGCUCGCUCCGCGAAUAGAACAGAUUGCAUGAGGCGAAGGUACCAGGCAGUUUGGUAAUAAAGAAUCGAAGGAUCAAAUUGGAGGCUUUUGAAAUUCAUUCAGUCUUUUUGCUGCUGGGCAAGCCAUUAUUAUUAUUAUUAUUAUUAUGUUUGGAAGCAUCUUUGAGCUGGAAUUAAACCAAGAAGCCGAUUCUAGAUGUAGCAUUCAAAGUAUUCAUCUUGACUUGCGCGUUCAGCCAAUGCUAAUAGCCUAUUAUUAGUAGUAGUAUCUUCUUCUUAUAUCAUUAGUUAGUUGGCCAAGAACAUAGAGGGUUUCCAUAGGACACUGCACUACAAAUUAAAUGAAUAAAUUGUUAUGUACUAUGUGCUUAUUUUUGGCCUUUUCAGUUCAAGAGGGCUUUGACUUUCACUGCCGCUCUGAUGAGUUAAGUCCAAGUUUAAUCGCCUUCAUGGGAAUGGACCUCUCAAGUUUGAGAGCCCAACUUCAUUAUUGGCCUUUCUGAAAUCAGGCCUCUUCGUACCCCAGUGAUCGAAAAUUUUCAGCGAGUCAACGAUGGUAUGCAGCCCAAUUGAUGAUGUAUAAAACAGACGACCCACCACCGGUGGGCGACUGACGUUCUGCGUCGUCGUUUCUCACUAAAUUAACGUUUAAAAUCCAACGGCUAGUUUAUAGAAUGACCGUUUUGAAACCAAUAAUUCAAAGCGCGACCUCCCCAUGAAAUUCACAAGAAAAAGCAUUUCUCUUCAGACAUUUGAAAAAAAUACGCCCCACAAAUUAAAUCCCUAAAAAUUAUAAACAAAAUCCUCAGCUCAAGAACAAACAUUCAGCCAAAAAAUCCGUCUCAAAUUUCUCUACAAAAUCUGCAACAGAUAAUCAUUCCAAAAUGGUUUACACAUACACUCCUACAUAUUACAGUUCACUCCAAGAUUCAAUAGCCUCUUUGUGCAAAAAUAUCCUUCCAUUUUCUUUCAAGAAAAGGCGGUUGCCUGCAAUCGCUGCAGCUGAGCAGAGGCUAUCAAAGCAGCAGGCUGACAACUUGAAAUGGCAGCAAGAUUCAUUCCACCAGAUACUCAAAUUAAUGGGCCUCUGCAAGGAAGGGAUUUUGCCCGAAACAGAGGUCUCUGCUUUUAGAUCACAUCUAUUAGAUACCCUUAUUGCUUCACCACUUGACCAUGAACAUUCUUCAAUUUUGAGGGAUAAAUUGCUCUUCUUGCAGGUCAGUUCUUAUUGCUGUUUUUCCCCUCUAAGUCUUGAUAGCUUGAUUGAAUUGCAAUGCUUUUGGUUCUUCUUUUAAUGCCCAUUUAGAUUCAUAUGGUGACACUUUUGAAUCCUUAGACAGACAGGGAUGAGUUCUUAACAUUAAUAUAUUGUUAAAAUAACAAGAUAUGAAUGUGCUAGCAAAUCUUACCUUUGAAUUCGGUUUUACAUAAUUUAUGUGCAUAACAAUCGAGCUUCCUUAAACUAAAAAUUGCAGCCGUACAAUUAAUUCAAAUAAAAGAUAUUAUUGGUGUUUCAAGUUACAAUAACGCCAGUUAGUCUGUUUGGGUGGUAGAUUGCGCAGAAUAUUAUUUAAAAUAAUAAUUAUAUCAUUUUUGUAUUAUGAUGUAUAUGAAAUAAAAAGGUGAUUAAAAAGAUAAAAAUAUGUAUUAAAAGAUAUAUUUAUAAUGCAAGUAAAUAAUAUUCUGGUAUAUAAGUGCUAUUGAAACACACUCAUUAAUUAUGGGUUGUUUUUUAUGGAUUGACUAUUAGUUUUAGCUACAAUCAGUGAUCAUCUAUAUUUGGUGUGGAUAAUAAAUACAAUCACAACCUCUUUUCUUCUUCUCUUUGGACGGUGUAUUAUUUGUAUAAAUUUAUUUGUUUGCAUCAUACUCACAUUUUCAACUAUUUUAUUUCAUUUACAUUAUAUUUAAAAAAACGCUACAAAUUUUUUUUUUCAAAAUUUAUUUCAAAUAAUCUCCUAUUCAAACAUGCCUACGUCAUGUUAAAAAGUCAAUUUUGAUAUCAACUUCAAGAUCUAGCUAUAAAUGCAACUUUUUCCAUAUUAACUUGUUUAAUUAAUAGUUUUGUUUGGAUAGCGGUUUAUUUGCAAAUUUUUAUUUGCUUGCAUAUCAAUAUAUUUUCUGACCAUUUUUUAUUUUACAUAUAUUACGUCAAAAAAGCGUUACAAUAUUUUUUUAAAAAAUUAUUUGAAAUAAUCUACUAUCAAAAUUUUAUACAGUAGAUUAUUUUUAAUCAUCUUUUUGUAUAUUAAAUUAUUAUUAUUGUUUUGCAUAUACCGUAUUAUAAAAUAUACAACAGUGGUGUCAUUUGAAAUAAUUUAUUCAAAUAAUCUCCGAUCCAAACGUACAACACACCACCAAAUCUGGUGGGAGAGACAAGGAUCCAAAAAAUUAGAGACAAAAGAAAAUUACAAAUGUCAAAGCGCAAAGGCGGGGACAUUCACGCGUACAUUCUCCCACCCUCAUCAAUGAUCAAUUUUUGUCUCAUUCUUGCAUCUCCGAAACCAUCGAAAAGAAACACGGAAAUGUCGACCCCAUCCCCGCACCAAACAACCAUUUAAAUAAAAUUAUCAGGAAAUUACUACAAACCCCACGUGGCGUUAAUCCGCCCUCCUUCUCAACAAUCCACGCUUGUUAACUCCAAAGUCCUACCCGUGUCCCUCGCCAGUAAUUGAUGUCACAAAUUAAUAAUUAUGUGAAUAUGGAAGACCUUCCCUAUAAUCUUUGUCCCCCCAAAACCAAAAGCCCCCAACUUUUAUCUUAAUUUCCAAAGACAACGGAAAGAGCGACCAUUCAAAAAAAAAAAAAAAAAGGAGCUCAAGGAUAGGAAUGCAAAGAAAAAAGAAAAGGUUAAAAGUUGGAUACGUAAUUACAGAAUGUUUUACAAAAAUUACUAAUUCUUUGAGCAAAUUUAGAUACCAAUAAAUAAAAAUUUUAAGAAUCAUUAAUAACACAUUAUGAUUGAACAACAAAUCAAACUAAUUAAUACUCUAAUAGGUCGAAGUUUGACAAGAGUUCGUCCAAAUUUGAUUCGUAAAUUAAUUAAACUAAACAUGAAAAACAUGUUUGUCGUAUUUGAAAUAUUUUGAAACUCAACUUGAUUGAGAUAAAAUUUGAUAUUUCUAUGUAAAAACUCGAGUUCAAACUAUAAUUUGGUACUCGAUUUGACAAAUUGAUGGAACACACAAACAUGAAUGCGAGGAAGUUUGAUAUGAUUAUAUUCAUUUACUCCCUAUAAGAAGACCUGCACAUAAAUUUUGAACCGAAAACACAUGCAUAAAACUGGUAACAAAAUUCACCACAGUAGACCAAGUGGCAAAAUUUGUUGUUUGGCAUUUGAUCAUACAGAAUGACGAGACCAUCAAUCAUUCUAAUGAUAUUUUACUAGAUUUGACUUGUAGUUUUUUGGAUCCAACGAUGGAGGCAAAGAACCUUCACAAUUACAAAAUUGAUGAUUAUCGUAAAAAAUACUAGUAUAACAAUAAUGUCUAACUAGCCAUACAAAUCACGUCAAAAAAUUACGUUUUUCCAUAUAAAUAGAGAAAUUCUAAACCCUAAUAAUUACUAAUAUUUCGGAGAGCAUGAUACUUCAUGAAACUUUCUCUUUUUUUUUUUCUGAAAAACUAAUCUUAUAUAUAUUAACAGUAUAUAUAUCAACAUAUUUGGAUUCACGUCAUCCACUUAAUUUUAAUUUGAACUUAAACUGUAUUUAUUCACAUCUUCAGAUUUAUACUAGUCAAUUUUAAUUUGAAUUUAGACUUCAUUUUUUUUGCACGUAACAUGCAACUAAAUGUGUUUGUAUAUAAGAGAACACUAACCCCUUUUUUUUGUCUCCCCUUAUGCUGUGCCAAACAACAGUACACAUUUAAGACUGCAGUUUCUACCUUUUUUUUUUUUUUUUUGGUAAUUGCUGCAAUAUGAAUAAAUUUCCGGGAAAGUACUACCAAAGUCUUUCUUUUUUGUAAGAAAGCUGCCUUAAUCCCUACGUCCACGUCUAAGCUAAAGUAUUGCGUUGCAAUAAACAGUAGAAAACAUGAAUACAUGUAUAUGUAUAGGCCCCCACCCCCGCACCCCUCCUCCACCCCAUCCCAUCCAUUAACAGUGUGUGAAUGUAUAUAACCAGGGGAGGGAGGAGGUGCUGGAGAGGUGAAAAGGAAAAAGAAACUACUACAACUACAAACUCCUGUACUACCUAUUUCUACGACUGCCAUAAUAGCAGCAGCAAAUAAAAAAAGUACUUCAGUAAUUAAAAUAGAGGAAGCAACGAGCAGGAGCAGGUAGCUGAGGGGAAUUGGACUCUGAAGAAAGAAAAAAGAAGAAAGAGUAAUAAUUGUAAUGUACAAAUGGCGUACGAGGACCACCACCUCUCCCAUUCUUCUCAAGAAGAAAUGGCUCUCCACCACUUCCACCACUUUACAACUAGUACCACCACAACCGACCCCCACCACCACCAUCACCAUCACCAUCCCACCGCCUCCUCCGUCCUACGCUCUUCCAUCCACUCCCCUCCCGACACCCCUACCUCCGCCGCUGUAGCCGGCAACCCUCCUCCUCCCCCUUCCUGGCUCCUCAACUCCUCGAUUCUCAGGGGGCCGCACCAUCACCCCUCGCAGCAACAGCCCGACGCUGCCGCCACCAGUAAUUUCCUCCACCAGCUUCAGGCCUCCAACGACGACGUCUCUCACCUCGACCACAGCCCCACGGCCGCCAUGAGCAUGGUACACAAGCGGCUCAAGGAUAAUCACGCUAACAAUAACAACGGCAGCGAUCAUCAAGCCCCGGCAGUAAUGGUGAAUGAUGAGUGGGAGAAGGACAAGUGUAAGGCCGAGAUAUUGAACCAUCCCUUGUAUGAUCAGUUGCUUUCCGCCCACGUGUCGUGCUUGAGGAUCGCUACCCCGGUCGACCAGCUCCCCAGGAUCGACGCUCAGCUCGCUCAGUCCCAGCACGUCGUCGCUAAGUACUCGUCGGUGCUCCGGGGUCACGAUCCUCACCAACAGGCUCUUGAUGAUAAAGACCUCGAUCACUUCAUGGUACACUCCAUGCUCCAUUCCUCCUUCCCCCCUUUCUUCUUCGUUGACCCAUGUCUCUUCUAUGUGGACACUGGACUGUCUAAAUUUAAACAUAACUUUUCUGUUUUGGAUUAAGAUUUCAAAUAACUCUCGGUAUUCUUGCCAAGUUAUUCUUCAAGAAUUUGAAUUUCAUUAAAGUUCGAAAAAGAGAUUUUUUCUUCCCUUAAGCCCGCCCUCCUCCUCCUUCUGCUCGGCCGGGGCAGAGGGGUGAUUAAAGGCCUAAUUUUCUUUUUCCAUUAUGUUAUUCGAGUUGUUAUAGGUUGCAGAUGUUGUGUGAUUGAUCAUCAUAACUUGAGUUUUUGGUUGCAUGCAUCUGAUUAGGUGAGAGAAACAGAUUUACUACGCACACAUAAUUUUGUUAAUUUGUGAUCCUAAUGAUUAGAACUAACUGGUAAAAUUUUGAUCUUUGGUAGAACUUUUUCCUUCUGAAUUUAGUUUUUAGUCUUCUGUUGAAUUGUAGCACGGUUGUGGUCUGGAAAACAGGCAUAAUUGAAUGAUUGGAAGCUCCUAAUUUCUGGAGAUUUACUAGUAUGUUGGUUUUUAAAGAGUUGAGAUUGUCGUCCGUCCAUUGAUUGUUAUAACGAGCGCCUUCGUAUUUAGUGAGCUUAGUAAUGGACUAACUAUCUAGGUAGUAUUACCUUUUCAUUUAGGAUAACACGAGUAGGAGAAUUGGAAUUUCUGUAUCGUGGAGUCUUUCAGAUUCAGGUGAAAAACUUGUAAAGUUUUCAUUUUUUAUUGGGUUCCUCUGUAUUGGUUCUAGUCCUAGUAUUAGUAUGUAUAAUGUUGCAUAAUUAUCUUCUUAUGUCCGCAAUUCUGUUUGUGACUGCUCAGCAUGUGGGCCGUUUCCUUUUCUUUCUUGCUUUCUAUCAUUUUCUGUUGAUUUUUUUUUUUGGUGGGGGUGGGGUGGGGGGGGGGAGAGACCUAAUAAGUGUGUGGGAGAACAAAUUCUGGGUAAGGUUGAAGUUACUUAUGAUGGUUAUGGUUUAUGCUAUGAAAGAUAUUCAUGGGAGUAAAAGAUUGCCGUCGGAAUAUUACUGGUUUUAGUUGUGACACCAAUUGGAAUAUCUAAGUGUCGCAUCAAAAGAGGAAUCACGUUGUUCUCAGUACAACAAUAAUUGAAGCUUCAUUUUGGCAGUGUUAUGGGAAUCUCUUUGUUGAUGUAAUUUGUCAGUUAUGUUCCUGUCUUGCAUUUAUUGUAUUGUGCAAGUUGUUUUAAAUCGUUUGAAAUCUGAAAAUGGACAGCACGAAAUAUCUACAAGGAGAACUAUCAUAUGGAAAGCAUUUCCGUCACAAAAUUUAACAGAUGGAUAGAUUCAAGUAUGAAAUUCAUUCUAGAUUACUGAAUUUCUCCUAUGAUGUAAAUGCCAUACUUCCAGAUGGAAUCAUGUUUAUAAAGACCAAACAACCCAAAAAGUGUAAAUGUAAAUAAUCUGUAAAUAUCUCUGUUUUGUUUGAUAAUGUGAAAAGUCUAAGAAUAAUUUGUGAUGUUUUCCAAUGAUAACCAACAAGAAUGUAGCGCAAAGAUGAAUGACCAGAAUAUGCAAAUUAAGCUGCUAAUUUAAAUUUAGAAAUCUCCUGGUUUUAUCUGCUUUCUUUAUCUUCUUCUUUCUGCUCCACCACCUAUAUCAUUUCAUACAUUGAUGUUCUGCCAUACCCCACUAUUAUUUGGUGUUUUAUGUUUCCAGGAAUCAAUUUAUGGUUUUCACAUGUCCUCUGGCCUUGGGUAUCUACUUUAUGUUUUAAUUCAUGUCUGAUUUGUUCUUUAUGAACCUUCACGUUCUUUUUUUUUUCGUUUUCUUUGAUUUCUUCUGAUGUAGACACAUUAUGUUCUGUUGCUCUCUUCCUUCAAAGAACAACUGCAACAACAUGUCCGUGUUCAUGCAAUGGAAGCAGUCAUGGCUUGUUGGGAGCUUGAGCAAUCUUUGCAAAGCUUAACAGGUAUGAUUUAUUUAAGGUUCUUUUCCUCAUUGUUUACCUGUAAUCGUUGACUCAUCCCAAUAUGAGGUUUUACCAAAAGACGCUUUAUCAGCUUUCAACUAUGUGUGAGGAUUGCCUUUAAACUUCAUUCUGUGAUCCUUUCUACUGUAAUUUUUGCACUGGAAACAAUCUUAUAUUCACCAGAUCCUGUAUGCCAUAAAUUAUGAUGCAAAGUAGCAAAUGGCAUCUACCUGCAUUUCCACCAAUUUUCCAUUUUGAAAGUUGGGUGAGGAGGGCAAUACCUCAUACCCUUCAAAAUGAAUCUUUCGACUUAGAACUAGCAAAUCCAGGUAUUCAUUAGUUCGGUCCUCAAGCUAUGCCAAUCUAGUUAGCGAAGUCUCUGGUUUUUUGAUCAUUUAUAUUGCCCAAUUAUGCUAUGUUCUUCUUGAUGUUCCUUCAUUCUAUGUUCUGUGUUGAGAACAUCAGAAAAGCUGCUUUUGAAUCUUUACUGGGUGGUCUUGACAUAAAACAUGCAAUGCAUAGGGGUGGCGCCCAGUGAAGGUACGGGAGCUACUAUGUCUGAUGAUGAUGAUGAUCAGGCAGAUAGCGACACAAAUUUGUUUGAGGGAAGUUUAGAUGGCCAAGACAGCAUGGGAUUUGGUCCUCUUACGCCUACUGAAAGUGAAAGGUCUCUGAUGGAGCGAGUUAGACAAGAACUGAAACAUGAACUCAAACAGGUGAAAUGGUGGAGUACAUUGAUUUGCCAUUGUCAUACUUUAGCUUUACCUAGUUGGCUGCCACCAAACAAUUAUUUGCUUCACAGGGAUACAAGGAGAAGAUCGUGGACAUCAGAGAAGAAAUUUUACGUAAAAGAAGGGCGGGAAAGCUGCCUGGUGACACCACAUCCCUCUUAAAAGCUUGGUGGCAAUCGCAUUCCAAAUGGCCUUAUCCAACAGUAUGGAUUGCAAAACCUCUCCUGGCUAUGAAUUUGAAAACCAUGGUCUAUUGGGCAAUGCUCUGAGACUUUAUAAUAUUCUUGUAGGAGGAAGACAAAGCCAGGCUAGUGCAGGAAACUGGGUUGCAACUAAAGCAGAUAAAUAAUUGGUUCAUCAACCAAAGGAAAAGGAAUUGGCAUAGCAACCCUUCUUCAUCCUCUUCUCAAAAGAGCAAGCGCAAGAGGUACACCGAUUGACUUUCAUCCUUUUACAUAGUUCAUGCUUCUUAGGUCGCCUUGUCAAACCUUGUAUCUGGAAAAGUAGUGCAGGUGAAAAAUCCAGCAACGAGCAAUUUAUGUGAACCAAGGAAUUCGUAUUGAAGAAAAAAAUGUUGCAUCUUUUCGCCCUAGCAGGUUGAUCGACUAAAUUGCUCCAGCAGAUAGCCAGCUUUGAAUUGAAGAGCUGAUCCAAUUGACCAUAUGUCUGAAGCUGUUCAGGAUUAUAGAAGCAUAGCAAGCUGAUAGAACUCAGUAGUGAUCGACGACGUGAAAUAUGAGAUAGGAAUACAGGUACCGGGGCACAUGCUCUCUGUUGUAGCAUUUAUCUUUUUGGAGGUUGCGUAGGUGAACGUUGUGUCUCUUGUAGACGUACAGUUUCAAUUCAGAUCAGUUUUGUUUUCUUUGUACCACGUAGUGGUGGCACUGUGAUUUUGCUCCAGCUCGUGAUGGUUGUGAAUAGAAAUUGCGGGAGGUUUCGUGUAGAUUAUAAGUCAGCUGGCACAAAAAGGCGCUUGUACGAAAUAAUCUGACUUUUACCACCGGAGUCUUGAGCUUGUUCAAGAUCAUGCUAUGAAUUAUUCAAGAAUUAGAUGCAGGGCCGGGGGACAUAAUCAGGAAGCGACGGAAUGGUUAAACCCCCAAAGGUUUUUGCACUGAAUUUUCAUUGUUUCAGUUAAAUCCGCUGCGGUCUGGCGUGCUUUUGCAAGCUAACUGCUAGAAGCCCGGAAUUUCUAGGUUGCCAUGUGAUGUGCAUGUCUAUCGCAAUUCUUGACCGUGACUAGGCUGCCGUGGAGGAGGACGGAGGACUUCGUAGAAUACUAGUAGUUUUGGAUUGAAUUUUUUACGUAACAUGUUAGGCAACAGCGAUCCCAAACAAGACAGGAUCUCGAAGGCAGCUGCAAAAAAAUUGUCAGUAUUAAACACGGAAUAUGAGAACGUUAACUGUGGAUGAUGGAAUCUCUGCCGGGAGAAUCCAACUAUUUCACAAGACGCUGGUCGCUCAAAAAGCUAGUAACCUUUACAGCGUGCGCAAAUCAAUCAAAUCUGACGAGAAGUCCCCAGUUUGAGGGACUGACUAAGCAAAGCUCUUGUUUUGUACUAGUUGCUUCGAUGCUACUGUUCUCGCUUCCAAAUAAAUUAUUUAUCUGUCUUCAUGAAUCAUGAGUAAUAAUAAUACUACUAAAACCUGAGACAAGAUAAACGUACUUUUGAUACCAGGAUAUGUCCUUUUUUGUUUAUGGCUGAUUGGAUAACCUACUUAUGCCUUUCUUUGUCACCACGUUCCCCACCAGGGCCAAGCUUCCUUGAUGAUGCGUCUUGUGGCAUAUGCCGCCAAGACUAUGGUUGCUUGUCAAUUUACGUCUUCUUCUUCUUUCUUAUAUAUAUAUUAUUUUUUGGGCAGGGGCCGUCGACUUCUACUUUCUUGCCGUGUAAAAAUAAAAAAUGGGUUUAGUGGGCGCCGUGGAUUUGGUCAAACAAUUUAUUAGCUGGAGACAACUGGAGGGAGACCUUGGACCGGUCUAAACAAGGCGGCGGCUGCAAUGCAUAUGUUAAUUAUGUCUGGUCUGGGCCCAGGAGCGCUAAAAUCGACUCGGACAGACAAUAAAACGUGAGGAUCUCUAAUGCUACUAACAUUCCAAGACAGGCACCAGGAAUCUUUUACUAUUCGCGAUGGCACCAUUAUCAUCUGAUAAAAAUUUGAAGAAAACACAAAUUGUAGAUACCUUUGCUGGAAUGGAAGGGACGGAAAAAGGAAAGGAUACGUGAAUUGAAGGGAACUCUUAUCAAUCAAUGAGUUAACAGAAAACCAGCAACCACUAAAUAACCAACGAUCACAAAAGAGGAGAAGCUGCAUUUCUGUAAGACAGUAAUAUAAUUAAAUACAAUAAUAUUUCACACGCACAUUUGAUGAUCAUCAAGGACUCGCAGACGUUCUCUGUUGAUUGCUAGAUAAAGGAGCAGAAAAUCUUGAUGAAAAACUGACGAACAAAUCAUCCUCCUCCUCCUCCUCUUCGCCAUCAUCAAAGUUGAGUGCAUAGCUGUUUGGGGUGUACAUGGAUUGAGUCGUAGAUUUCUUGGGCUUGACGUACUUUCCGAUCUUCCUGACAAGGUUCUUCCACUUAGGUCCCGCCACAACCUCUGAAUAUUCCUUCAUGUUCUUCAGCUUGUCCACGAACCAGGAUUCCUCGUGGCCGCUAUUCUCUCGCAGCAAAUAUUUGCUCUCUUGAUUGCUUCUUUUCCAACCUCCAAAUCCAAAGCAGCAGCAGCAGCAGCAUCCACUUGGGGAAGCUACCUCCUCCUCCUCCCGGUCAUGAUGCAGGCCUUCUUGUUCAUGCUCUCUUAUCGCUGAAUAUGAGCUAGUAAAGGCCUGUUUCUGCUCAGCUCUGGCCAUAUAUAAAACUCUAGCUACUCUUCUUCUUCUUUUUUUUUUUUUUGGGCUUCUUGUCCUUGUGAUUGAGAAUUUGAUCACAAUGAAGCUAGUUUGUAGCUUAUAUCCGAUGGUCGGAUGAGAGGAGGAGGAGGACCUGAGAAUAUAUACGUUUUAAGUUUUGCAUGCGGUUCGUAGUUGUGGCCGUGUCAUGCGUGUGAUUUGUGCGUUAGCUAAGGGCCGGCAAAUAAAUAUCCAUCUCUAACUUGCCUUUUGGAAAUUUAAUUUCAAUGGCACUACAAGGAAGCACCCGCGCCAGGGAAGAGAACUUCAGAAAUGGAACUAAAUGAAUUGAGAAGCGGGCGUUGACUAGUAAAUGCGACUCUUCUCCGAGAUAGGGACACAACAAUCAUACAGUAGUCAAUAGUCAAUAAAUGUAUUUAUUUAUUUUAAGAAUGUAAGCGCGCAUAAGUAAAACUGGCUCAUUAUUAAAAAAAAAAAAAAGAAAGUAAAACUGGCUCCGUUCACGACUGGAUAAGGAUUAACUUGAGUUUAAUGAUAGUUUUUUUUUUUUUUAAUAAUCCACAGGAAUUCACAUCCGUUAUAUGAUCUGUGACUAAUUCUGUUCGAUCCGCGUCUGAGUCUCUUGCAGGGGAGGCUCUCUCAACAUGUUGUCUCUUCCAUUUCCAUGAGUUUUGAACCUGAAAUUUCAAGAUUAAGGGAUGCAAGUCCCUUUUGCUUGCAUCAACAUCCGUUUUUGGAUACAUUCCAUGUAUAGUAGCAAUUCUCAAAUACUGUUGCUUAACUGAUCAUAUAUUUCAACGGAGUUAAUUAAUCCCAGAGUAGAAGUCUUUGUAUAUUUCCUUCAUUUACAUCCAUGGCGUGAUCCCUCAUCCAUAAUAAUUCCAAUAUAUACCACUGGCGGAGGCCGGCCCAUUACCCAAUUUAUCUUCCAAGCGAAGAUAUAUAUAAUUUUAGUACAGGCUGCUGCCACCUGCUUUUGCGAUGCGUGGGAGGAUAUGUAUUCAUAUUUUGAUUUUCAUUUGACAAGUUCCACGUCUUAUCCGACACAAAAAAAAUAUUUAACUUUUAAAUAAAUAAAAUCUUACACGUCUUAGGGUGCGUGCAUUUGAUAAAAAUCUGAAUUUUUUUUAAAAUUAAAGUCUGAAAUUUAAAAUUAUUAAAUUAUUGAAUUGUUAAGUAAUAAGGUCCUGUUUGAUAUGACUGCGACCGUGUUAAAAAUUAACACGAAAAUUGCAAGAAGAAGAGAGAAAAUCUUAGCUGCUGCUGCUGAGAUAACACGUCCAUAUGCAUCAUGCUAAAAAGUGUUUGAAUAUGUGAAUGAAUGUUUACAAAUCAAUAGGUCUGUUCCCUUACCUGGAUCCUUCUCAUGUGAUUACUUCGAAUAUGACUGGAAAGACCACUGACAUUCAUUCCUUGCCUCCACAAUAUUUCAGUUUUGUGUUAAAUUUAGCCCUAAAAAAUUAGCCUUCAAAUAUCCGAAUACGUUUCUUGUUUUCUCUCAUACCGCAGGUCAAAUCAACCUGAUCUUCUAUAUCAGAGGGAACAUAAAGAACAUAUUUCAAUUAGUGGAUGCUAAUUAAGACGUUCAAUGCUCAGAGAGAAUUUGAUUGGUAAAAUAUUAAUAAUUCAGAUGAGCUUAGCAACAAAUUUUGGAGGACUUUAUAGAACGCAUCUUUUUUUUUUUUUUUGGCUCAAGAGAGACUCUACAUUUUUUUAAAAAAAAUUUCUGGUGAUUAAAUCCGACUGCUUAACGGCUUCAGAGCUAUUAUUGUUAAUCAGUAGUUCUAGACUGGUAGAGUUUAGAAACCUGAUGAGAAAUCACUUGAGAGAGAGAGAGGGAAGUCAAAAGAAAAAAUUGUUUCCUCAAGAAAAGAAAAAGAUAAAAUUAUGUUGUCAUCAUUACUUAUUAGUUUAAUCAAGUGGAGAUUAAAAAUUGAAAGCUACCUGCUGCCCUUUGAAAAAAAAGGAAAAAAAAAAAAAAAAGGCCUACCAGCAAAACCUUACUUGACGUCAACGCAUGCGGACGAGUGUGGAAUUAGGAUUGACUUAAAUUAUGUGGCUGAAUGUUGAAACAUCCACUAAAAGACAUAAUCAAUUUCUGGGUUUAGUCAUGGAAGGAGGCUAGAAAUUGCUAGCUAGCAGGUAACAGGUUCCUUUCGCAUGAAUAAUCAAAACUUUGAACGAAACCAUAAACAACUUUUUGCCUUAGCUUAGCAGGCAACAGGACCAGUCUUUACAUCAACAUCUACUAGUAAUACACAAGAAUCAGGGCUUUCUCAGAUUAGCAGGGGUCUCUGGUAUGAAAUAUAUUGUUGUUUGCUUGCUCAAUGUAAGGUUUGUUUUUAAAAUUAAAAACAAAAAAAAUUUCUAGCAGAUGAGGAUAGAAUUUAAGAAGCUGUGAGGAGAAACGGGGAUUUGAAAAUCCUGACAAGAAGUCUCAAAAGUGCCAAGUAUCGCAGUUUACUUUACUACCACAAUCUUGUGGCAGAUUUGCAAUGUGACAUAAUUCUUGUUUGUGCCACUGAUCCUGAAGUUUCCUCAGUAUUCUUGGUCACUUAAAGCAACUUAUUUCGGAGACUUGGUUCCGUAUAUAUAAUCCUCCAUAACGCAGCUGUUGCAACUCCAAAAAUUCUUGCAAUCCGAAGAGCAGCAGCACAGCCUUCUCCAAUAAUAAUCUGAGACCCAACACUUCGACCUGUGGGCUGCAAUUGAAUGGCAAAUCUAAGCAAGGCACCCCACUUCUAAAAUCUCAGAACAAAAGGACCAUAUGUCCACUAAUAAUGGCGAUUAUACGCAACCCACAAUGAAUUUCGACAAAUAUUCAUGUUACGUACUCAAAACAGCAGUUACAUGAUAUGACAGCAAAGUUAUUCAUGUACGUCCUAACCCUUGUUCAAUAACAGCAGUCAGCGAACUGCAUCUAUACAUUUGAAAGCCACGUUUCAAACAUCUAGAGUGAUGUACAAAGCAAGACAUGCCAGACUAGAUGUGCUGAAGGCUACUAUUCGCCAAAUGAAAGGCACAAAAAAAAAAAAACCAAAUUUUAUUCCCACCACCUUCCGCACUAGCAAUCAUAUCCAUGCAUGAUAUUCGGCUGAAGUUGUACGGUAGUUGCCAUUAACACUCUACAUAUUGCCAGAAAAGAACACCAAGGAUCAAUGACGGAGCCAAGGGGGCAGAGGGGGGCCAUGGCCCCCCUAAGUUUUGAGAAUUUUAAUUCAUAAUAUGUAAAUAUGUGUGUAAAAUAAAAUUGGCCCCCCCUAAAUUUUUUCAAUUUUAGUUUAUAUUAUGAGAGUUGAUAUAUAUAUAUAUGAAUUAGUCAUCUUUGAAUGAAAUUUCAAUUUUGGCCCCCCAAAAAAAAAAUCCUGGCUCCGUCACUGCCAAGGAUAUAUAUACCAACUGGACCCGGAAUUUCCUGAUCCUUUCUUACUAACCUAUAAAAAAGAAAUGCAUAUCAAAGUUGAAAGUAACCUAAUUUUGUAGCAAAGACGACCCAUUUUGAGAAGGCAAAAGACAAAAAAGAAAGUUCAGUAAGUACAUUGCCUGGACGACUGUGGAUACUUCGCCUGUGUGUGAUUGAUUCCACAUUAGAUGCAGAUGGCCUAUUUACUAUUUAGGAUGGGCCUGGAAAACAAGUUGCGAGCUUUUGUUUCAAUUGGAUUAUGGAGCACCACAAUGGUUUGCAUUGCUGAUGAGUGAUGAGCCCACUAUCUAAGUUCGGCUAGAGGCCAACCAAGAAGCAUGUGGAUUGCGGAAUUUCUAAUUGCAUUUACUCCAGUUACGUACCUUUACAUGAACAAUUUCAGAUUGAAUAUCGUUCUCACGGGAAUUGUGGUCAGUGACAAUGCGUUCUAGUAUUACAAUUUUCACCACAAAAAAUAAAUAAAAUUAUAAUUAUUCAGAGUAUAACUUUGAGACCAAAAAAACAAAAAAAUAUUUAAAAAAUAUGUUCACGAAAAAUGUAAAAAUUUUGUGACAAAAAUCACAAUCCAGUAAACAAUUCACCUUUACGUGAAGAGCACAACUGGGUGAAGUUCUUUAGUAAUGAUGAUUGCACUUUAAUUAUUAAACUCACGCUCUUCAGCUGGCAAUCAUGGAAGAACACAAUUAGCCACUCGUAAUAAUAAGUACUUGAAAGAGUUGUGCGUAUGGAAGAAUCAAAAUUGGUAUGGUGAAAGUCCAUCACCAGCGGCAACAUCCCAUAACAUCGAAAUACAAAUGGAUGGUGUUGUGCUGGAGGGACAAUAAUUAUAACAACAAUGCCAUUUUACAGCGGGGAAGUUACAUUGGGGGCCGAGAAAGGCAAAAUCCCCUCUUUUUAAGUGGAGAUAUUGGUGUGUGUAUGUCUUAAAUUCUGUCACAAUUAAUUGUUUGCUUUGAAAUCUAAUAGUAUUCUCAUUGUUUGUUUUAGGUGGAUGAGAUGAAUUGCUUGAGAGUUACAGACGCAGAAAUGAGCACAUUGACAGGUAGGUGGGGAGCUAGGGAUCGAUGAAGAAGAGCAGAAGCUGAACAAGGGAUUGCGCUCUUAGCUACUCGGUGGAAGGGGCGGACAUCUUAGCUGCUGGUAUUAUGUGAAUGAGGGGGCCAUCUGGUAUUGGUCCCUGCACUCUUUUCCACUGCUGAUGACAACACCACGAAAACACGACGGGACGCACACACCACACACACUGAACCCACGCGGCCAUCGUCGAUAGGCUCGAAUAUGCUUAUUCACAUCGUACUCAAGCCAUUAAAUGGUUCUUCAUCAUCAUAUGGAUGUAUUAUGCCCAUCUGGUCCGUCCGGCGGUAAUUCUGUUUCCAUCGGACUUCCCUCUUAAUUAGAUUAGAAGAGUAAGAUAUACUACAUAAAAAGUGACGAUUCACCCAAAAAAAAACAUGCUGCUCAUCCAUGAUUCAUAUCCUUGCCACUCUUUCCUUGUCCACUUCCCAUUCUCUGAAAAUUACCUAUUUAGUGCCGCCACCAACUCGUGCUGAGCUUACAAGCAAACUUUUCCAAUCCCAUUUUACCAUGUGGCUUUUAGGCUCCAUAUCUUCUUCUAAUUAAUAUAUUAAUAUUGCUGCUUUUCCACUCCAGGAAUAUUAUAUAGCAAUUAUAGCUUAAAGCAGUUUUACUUUUAAUUGAAGUACUGUCCAUAAAUUAGAGCUGUUAAGUCAAUCGAGUAGCUCGAAAGCUCGUUAGAGCUCGGCUCGUUAAGGCUCGAGCUCGGCUCGUUAAUUUUGGUUAACGAGUCGAGCUCGAGCUCGAAACAUGCUCGUUUAGUUAACGAGCCGAGUAAGCUCUGCUCGUUUGAUACUCGAGUAGCUCGUUAGAGCUCGUUAAUAAAGGGCAUAUUUGUCAUUUUAGAAAUCAAAAUUAUAAAAAUUAAAAAUUAUAGGUUUUUAUUAAGGUUAAUUUGCACGAGCUCGAGCUCGAGCUCGUGAAGCUCGACUCGUUUGUGAUAAACGAGUCGAGCUCGAGCCACAUGUACAUUUAACGAGUCGAGUUCGAACACAUUUUAAAACUCGUUUUCCUAACGAACUCGAGUCAAGCUCGGUUCGAAUUAAACUCGAGUCGAGCUCGGCAACCAAAUACUCGGCUCGACUCGGCUCGAUUAACAGCUCUACGUCCAUUCUAUGACGAUGUCAUUUCUUCUUUUGUUUGGAAAUGGAUAAAGGUUGGAUGACAAAAUAAUAGUACUAGGAUACAAAACAAAACCCCAAAUUCAAAAGUCACGAUAUCUUUUUGCUGUCGAGAUGAAGUCAUGGAAAUUUGACUAAAGCGUCACCUUUUCAAGCAGUAGUGUCUUUUUUUUUUUUUUUUUCAACAAUCGGAAUUACUGGAACAAAUACAAUAAAGUAAGAUUAACACUCAGAAAUAAUCGAAAUCCUGGUGCAAAGCACAAUCUAAGGUGGAGCCUACAAAUCAACACCAUCCAGCCAAUUGGUAAGCAACAGUGUCUUUUGCUUGCGUGAAUUUUGAUCUUUGUUGGAACAAGACUUAUCACCCUUUUAUUAUUAUUAUUAUUUUUGUUUCUACAUAUGAAUCUAAGAAAUCAGGAGGGUUAUCUUAUAAGAUAUGCUACUUUAAACAACAUUUGGUUAAAGCUUUGCGUAAUAAUCGAGUGCGUGCAUGUUUAUUGAACAUUGAUGUCGGUGACUUGGUUCACAUUGGUAGGUAAAUCUGUAUCUUUGUACAAAUAAUAUCUUUGUACAUGAUCCAAAUCCAAGUAUAUAUAAUGUUAAUUAUAUAGUCAGCUAGCUAACUUAAAAGAGUCUUAGACUUGCCAUUUUUGCUACAACCUUUUGUUACACCUACUUGGCAACUCGCACCAAGUAUUCUUUUUCUUUAGGAAAACACUUUUUUUUUUAUUAGUUUAUGAGAAAAAUUAAAAAAGUAAUCGCACAUAAUCGUACUAAAAUUCACCUCUAAUAAUACACAGUACAUAGGAUUUUUGUUACGAGUGUUUAAUACACAAUUAAACUAGUCUAGAACUAACCUAACAUGUGAAUUGACCGACCGACCACAUUUAAUGCAUCCUGUAUUCUAACACUUUUUUAUUUCACGAGAUGUUCAUGGCAAACUGAAGCCAGUAGGAUCACUUGAUACUUUGUCCAACACUACUUUGUACAGCCACUUAGCCUCCUUGCGAUGAAUCUUUCUGCAUUGUUAUCUGUCCGAGUUUCAAAUUUGAGCUAAGCAGCCCGGCCAAGAUCUUCAUUCCAGAUAAGACUGCUGAAGGACUAGAUUCACACAAACUGAUCAUGGUUCCCGGCUUUGAAUACUAAAUCCUACAGCUCAGAACCAUUUAUGUCUUUAGAUCCGCAGGAGAUUGGCGGUCGGCUCCAGCUCGACAGAUUUACAAAUACAGCUGAUCUUUUAAAUUUCACCAUUUGGCUCAUAAACAACUACAAGCAAAAUUAUAUACACUACACCAGCACUUUCAUUCUCCUGUGUACUCUAUUUCCAGCAAAGUUACUUAGUACCAAUGGCCUUAACACUUCCUAUCUGAAUCCUCUCCCCCACCCCCCCCCCCAUAAAAAAAAAAAAAACACACACACACACACACACACACACGCACGUAUAAGGCUGGUUGAAACUCGCAAUCCAAAAUUUGGAAGUUGGAGAAGAACCCGGAUCCCAAAAACUUCACCAGCAACGCCAUAAAUCUACAGAAAGCUACUAAAACGAAGGAAUGUCGAACAGAACAUUCCGUACAGGUGUGUACGGCAUAUCCAGCCUGCCCAAAAUUUUUUUUUUUUGGGACUUUUUUAUGCUGAGCCUGAGCAUAAAUGAAAACCGACUACCAAAACACCGAAGAAAGAAUUUAGUAGGAAACAGAAAGAUCUAUCAAAUUCAAUAUAUUAAACACUCUGAUGUUUCCAUGAGCAGAAAAAGAAACAUAAAUUUUUUACUCUGUACUGCUAGUAUUUCAUCUGCAGCUAAUAGCUGCGAUUUCUCUUACAGCAGGCAAGGCUUCAACUGGCUGGGAAGGAGGAAGCCUGGCGGAGAAAUUCCUCAACGGAUAUUCAUCGUCCUCGUCGAACCCAUCUUCGAAAUUCAGCGAAUAACUCAGCGGGUCGUAUCUGAAUUCAGCAGACGGGUGUCUUUUAUGUUGCCUGUUGAUUCCAUUUCCAACGCGGCCGAAAACCAUCAUGCACUUGUCCUUUAUAUCGUCUUUCAAAUCAUGGGCCUUCCUUGCUUUCAGCCAGAGCAAAGUGGGCUUGUCAUCUGACGGCAGAGGAGGUGUUGGCGGUCCCGUUGGAGAGUCUAGAACCUGGCGAUGGCCGUGGUGGUGGCGGCGGAAGCAGCAGUAGAAGCAGAGCGAGUCUUUGAGCUUGGAUUUGAGUGAAUGUGGAGAGGCUGGGUUGUGAUCGUCAUCCAAUUCCAUUAGUCUAGAAUUUCUUUCCUUUAUUUUCUCUUCUAGUGUGUGAGUGUGUGUAAAAAUGCAGCUAGAGAGGUUGCGGUGGUGAUGCUGAUAUACUGGGAGGGAGAGGUACGUGUAGUCUGGAGAGUGAGGAAGUGAAAAAAGACGAGGAGAGGUUAGCAUACCGCGGCGCUAAUUCAACCGAGUACAGAACGUGGGGAUGGAGGUGGAAAAGCGGUUUUAGUUAUAUCCCAAUGGGAUAAUAUCAUAAACCUCCUUGAGGUUUCUCCUAAUAUCACCUAGCUCUCCUAACGCUUUAAAAAUAUAACUUAUCUCCUCUAAUAAUUUAAAAUUUUGGAUACGAGUUGAGAAGAAGUUGGAAAAAAAAGAUAAAGUUCAUAAGAAAUUGGUUUUUAGCGUGCAGAGUUAAAUUAGUCAAUUGUAUUUCUUUGUAAAUAUCUUUUUUAUUUUUCAAAUAUAUAUUUUUAUGGACUAUAGUAUUAUGAUGUGAUAGUACCACUAGGCAUUAUUUUUUAAAUGAUGGUUUUCUUGAAGUAAACAAAGUGAUGUAGGAGCAUUUUUUUUUUUUUAGUAAGUAGAAGGGUAAUUUAGGGUUUUCAAAAAUUUUGUUACACAAAUAACAAAAGUAAGAGAGGUAAGUGAUAUUUUUAAAACUUAGAGAUGUCAGGUGAUAUUAAGAAAAAUCUCAGGGGAGGUUUCUAUAUUAUCCCUAUCCUAUCCGAAUAGGAGGGGAUUUUUUUGAGAUCUUCUAGGGAUUCAUUAGUAGUUUUAACCAAUGUUUUAAAACCCGGACCGUCAAUUGAACCGGUGAAGUGAAAGGGUCGAGAUUCAACCGGUCGGACCGGUUCAACCUCGGUUCAAUGAAUUUUUUUAAAAAAUAAUUUAUAUAAAUAUAUAUGCACAAAAUAAGACAUGCAAUAGACUAAUUUAAAACUUUAUAUGAUGAAAAGUUUACUAUUUUUGAAUAACUUGGAUUUUCAAAAAUAAAAAUUUUAAAUUAUAAGUUAAAACAAAUAAAUUUCAUUUCAAUUUCAAUUAUAUCUACCAAAAUAAUCUUAAAUCUAACCCAAAAAUGUCACAAUAUUUUGAAAUUAUACAAAAUUCACGUCCAUGAGAAUUUGACAUUGUGAACUUAAAUUUUAAUUUACGUCUUUGAGAUUUAGGGAUUGCAAUUUAAAAAAGAAAGUUUGGAGUUCGAAGGAAGUCAAGAGAAUCGAAAAUAUAAAUGCAAACUUGAUAAGAAACAAAAAAUGAGAUAAAAGUGAGCGGUUGUAGCAUUAAAUAAUUUGGGUUAAAGAAAAAUAAUUCUUUUUUAACUUUUUUCAAAUUUGUGUUUUCAUUUCGGCCAAUUGACUUUCUCACUCAGUACAUAUUCAUUGGAAAGAAAAAAUUCUCCAUAUUCACAUUUUUUAUCCACUAGAAAAUUGUUAUUAGCGCCCAAUUAUUUAUCAAUGUUCCCUUAUUUAAUACUUAUUUACCAGUCAGUUAGGUAACAAUAUCCUUAUUCAAUCUUACUACCUAUGAUAUUGUUUUGAGAUUGUAAUUGAAAUUAAAUUUUUAAGUAUUUUGUUUAUUCACACAAAUAAAAAAAAUCAAGGAGUCAUGAUGUAAAGUACGAAUGUGUACAAUGUAAUUAUAAAUAUUUUUUAAAAUAAUAAUUACUUAUCAAUUUUUUUCCUAAAUACUUGUCUACAAUGUCAAUUGAGCAAGAAUAUCCCUACUCAAUCUUUCAAUCUGUUAUUGCAUUUCAACCACUAUUUUAUUGUGAGAUUGUAAUUGAAAUUAAAAGUUUGAGUAUUUUUAUUUAUUUUCACAAAUUAAAAAAUCAACGGGAUCACAUUAAUAAUCAAGGGGAGUACAUUAACAAACAUUGAUAUACCAACAAUAUAUUUAUGAUGUAAAGCACAAGUGUUUCUGAUGUAAUUAAAAUUUUUUAAAACAUUAACUUAUCUAAACAAUUCAAUUUAGUUACCAAAUUAGACCUUGUUUGGAUUGUCAUUUUUUUUAUUUUUUUAAUUUUUUCACAAAUCUAUUUCUUGAUUAUUUUUAUUCUACACACAUUAAAUCAUUGUCGUACAUUUUUCUACAAAAAUUUAAAAAAUAAUUUGAAAAAGCUAUUUUAUUAAAGGAUUUUUUUAACGAUUGUCCUAACACAUUUAAUAUUCACCUAAUUUAUUAUAUAUAUAUAUAUAUAUAUACAUAUACUAACAAUUAUUACUAUCUUUGCAUUUAUAUAUUUUUUAUAUACAAAGAAAUAAGUUUGAUGUGUCUUAGGUUGGGGGUAUUUUUAGUUUUUCACUUAAUAAGUUAAGUAUAUAUCUACACAAAAUAAUCGCAUCCGCAGGCUAUGGUUUAAUGGUAAGGGCUUCUUAUGACAAGCACAAGGUUAGGUGUUCGCCUCUUGGUGGUUGCAAUUUGGGAAUUAAUUUUGAAAAGUUUCAAAAACCGCCGGUUCACGGUCUAAGCGGGUUUUCACGUUCAUCCGGUUUCUAGCGGUUUUUGAUUACUCCCCGGCUUUAGCACUAGACCGGACCGUUGGCCUGUCCGGUUCGCGGUCCAACCGGCCGGUCCGGUCCGGUUUUAAAAACAUUGGUUUUAACCUAGACUGAUUCUCAGUCAAAACAAAAUAAUAGUUGUAAGACAUUCCUGAUUCAAAAUUUUGAACGUUUCUAAUUUAACGAUGUUAGUUUUGUUUAAGAAAACAAGUCUCUUGUUACUUAUGGAAUCCAAGUAAUCACAUUCAACUAAUUGCAUGAUCCUUUCGAUUUUAAACAAAUACACCAAGUCGCAAAAGAAAAAGGGUUAAUAAUACUUAGCCCCUUGAACAUUUAGGAUGAUCACAUUUUACUACUCUGAGUCUCGACUUUAAAAAUAUACAUUUUGCUCGUUUUACUAAAAAAUUAUUUUUUUUCUACUUAUAAAGAUCACAUACUGAAAGUUGGUAAAGUGAGAAUGUGAACAACUGAUCAAGGCUUCAUUGACGAUUUUUCACCUUUUCUUUGUGCAUGCUCUGGGCUUAUUCAUUGAGGAUUAUCAUACGUUUGAUUGGAUUCUUUGGAUAGUGUAGUCGGCUUGGAGGCGAGAUUUGGGAUGGCAUGCAAUAGUUGUAGCUUAUAGUGUUUGUAUAAAUUUUUUUUUUUAAAAUUUUUUUAACAAAAGAAGAAUGAAAUUUAAGAAGCGAAAAGAGAGAAAUCAAAGAUUCCAACUCAAAACUGCUAAAGCUUCAGCCGCUGGCAUAAAGUUCACGGUGCUUGCAAUUCAUAUAGAAUGCAGUUUCUAUUAUAAAAAGCUGUACUGGUUGUCUGGUUCUACAUCUCCAGCGUAGGGAAAGUCCCGACCAAUUAUGCUUCCAUUUUGAAUCCUUACUAAUAUAUAUUUUCGAUUCAAGAAGCAACGAAGCUGUAUUAGAUUUCCUCAAUUCAACAAUUUCGAUGCGUGAUACUAUCUAUCAGUAUAAUCAAUCGUUUCAAAAAAAAAAAAGAAAAGAAAUAGGAACAAGAAAAUUCUGAUGCUAGAAGCAAACGGAUGGCAAUCGGCAGCGGGCUACUUACCCUUUCGGGUUGACUAGCCAUAUCGAUGAUGAACGUUUUAUUUGCACAAUACCAGAGUUGCUGCCCAAAACGACAAAGCAGAGUCUCAUUAUUGUCUUUCGGCUCACAACCCCAAAUUUGCAGCUUAAACGGGCCUCAGCCUCAGGCGGAUGUAAAGGAUAUCAAGGUUCGGGCCAACAUCGAAGAGUUUAGACCAAAACGACAGUUCGUCCAAUUUCGCAUGUCAAGAUUGAAUUCGUCAAGCAUCAAAAGUUCGGUACAGAAUCUUUUCACUAAAGGUGAGCAGCUUGAAAUUUUGAUGUAGAGUUUUUGCAUGCUAAUUCAUUCUUACAGUUUGUUUCCUGACGAACAAGUUGGGUUGAAUUGUAAGGGCGGAGCGAUCGUAAGUACAAGAUUCUGGAUGCAUGAUCUAACUCGAAAAUUGGCCCGUUUGAAAACUCUGGACAUGGCCGGUAGCCGGUAGCCCACUAUGCGAUGGAUACUCCUAUGCUCGUAUAGAGCCCAAAUCUGUCGAUUCAUCGACCAUGUCGAUAGCAGAAUAACUGGGACUACCAUGACAAGAAACCAAAUUUAAACUCCAUCAAUUAUUGGAUGGAAAUGCAACAAAAGGGAAUCUUGAUCUACAAAGUUAUAGUAGCAUUACUAAAUCAAGAAAGAAAAAAGAAUUACGAAACCUUGGCGCAAAGACAGGAUUCAUAGUGAUAUUCUUAGUUAGGACAUUUUGAAAUCCAAGUUUUCAUUUUGUGUCCAAUUAUUGAACGUAACAAAUAAAGCAUUAUUCCAUUCCAGUGAUAGGUGUCUGAUACAUAAGGAACCUCAAACACAUUAUUCAUAAUCAAUCACCAACACAAAACCUCCAUAAUCCCACAUGGGGACUGACAUCAAUACCAAUACCAUUCAUUAAUCCCACCCGGAUUCGGGGUUCCGGAAGGUGUAACAUCAUUUGCACACAUCAUUUGCACACGGUGUAACAUCAUCUGUACAAGGUGUAACAAUAGAACAACAGCGAGUAACACCAAAACAACAUUUUUGUGGGUCCCACACGGCGUGAAAAUCGAGUUACAAGAAGUGAUCUGAGCCGCACAAAUUUUUUUGACCUAAUCAUGGCCGUGAACCUUCCGGAACGGUUGUCUCUGACAACCGUUCCAACCCCUCCUCCAUCCCACAAUUGUUUCGUCAUUCGGGGUCAUGUCGUCUGCUAGAAUUUCCAUAGUUUGGUCUGUUUGAAUUGUGAAUUAUUAGAGAUAUUUUUACUGUAGCACUUUUUGUGAUGUGAUGUAUGUGAGAUAAAAAGAUAAUUGAAAAGGUAAAAAGGUGUAUUAAAAAUUGUAAUAAUGAUGUAAACAAAUAAAUUUGGAGAAAUAAAGCCCAAUCCAAACAAACUUAUUAUUCUGAAAAUCAAGUAUUUCUCCUUCUUUGUUUCUUCUCUCCAACACCGUGCAGCUUCUCAGUCAUUUCGGGUUUUCAUGUUUUGUUUGUAAAGAAAAUGUUCCAAACCGUGGACGGACUAGGAAUUAGGAAAUAUCCAAUUCAACGUACGCAAUUAAUUAACUGUCUUAAUUUAAUGGUUUAUGCAUCUUCUGUGAAUGUGUGUUGUAGCUUCCACUUUAAUCCCAAACUCUGUGUGCAUGACUUCCACGUUCCACGAUUCAAGAUUCGUAGGUAAAGUUCAGACGAAGCAACUACUUUAGACUUGGGUCUUUCUAAUCCAAGAUGUAAUUAUAGUCUUUCUUUCUUUCUUUCUUUUAUAUAUAUAUAUAUAUAUAUAUAUUUUUUUUUUCCAUCAAAUAACUAAUUCCUUGUUAAAAAAUUUCGAAACGGCUGUUAGAUUUUAGGAGUGCAUCGUUUUGUACAGGGUCAUGGUUCUCUUGCUUUUUCUUUUUUCCCAGCUAAAUAAUUAAGUAGCUAUCACAGUCAUCUGAAAUUGGCCUACUUAUUACUACUAGAUGUUAAUGUCAGGUUUGGUCAUAGUCAUUCAUGUGGCAUUUCCACGAAAUUAUCUGCAAGAAGAAGUUUGACACCAAAAAAAAAAAAAGUAGAAGCAAAUGUUUUACUAGGUCACCAGAACUCCACAAGACAACCUAACCUUCCAGCUUCGGAUAUCUAUUUCAAUAAUACCGCCAUAUAUAGGCUUCCAAUUCAAACUAAUUUUAUCCUUGAAUAUCUUUCUUUUUUUUGUGAUAAUUUAUUUACUAAUAUGGACGAAAGUUUCUCAAUUGCUUGUCAAAUUCAAGACUCAUAGGAUCAGCUGAACUUAAAAAAAAAAUUUUUUUUUCAGCAGAGAGGGAUGAGAUUUGAUAAGUGAAGAGAAGAGAGGGGGAUAGAUAAGCCGAACUCUUGACUUUUGUGUAUGCUUCAGACUUCUCCACGAACUUUCCAACCCUUUCCAUUAAACCACUUUUCAAAAAAAAUAUAUAUAUAUAUAUAUCAUGUUGGAAGGGGAUGUUCAAUUGAACGUACGGGAGACCGAUGGGGACUAAACCACCAUUAGAUCAGAUAGGUGCACUACGCACUCGUAUGAAUUUUUUUACAGAAAUCACAUAUUAUGACAAUUGGUAGGAGACAAGGUUUGAACCCUUGAUCUCCUAUCCGACCAAGUCUUAAGGACUUGGUGGUAGCCAUGGGUUGUUGGUUCAUGACAUGUGUAUGUAAUGGUAGCCAUCCGUAUUUAUACAUUAUCAGUUUGAUUCAUUCAUAACAUGUACAUUCAACUUUUACAUAAUUAUUAUUCAUUUAGAAAAUGAUAAUGAUUGGACUAACUUUUGAAGUUAUAACGCCUGUCCUGUCCUCCUCAAUUCUUAAGAAGAGUCGUUACAAUAUUCAUUAUUAAUCACAUAAUGCACCAAUAUAACAAACCUCGAACCUUGCACACCCAAUUCAGCUCCUAUGCUGUUGGCCCUGCUGAUACUUUUCCAAUUUCACUUCAUCAAUCAUGCCACUCACCUAAUUCCUUUCCUCCCUUCCACUUCCCCCACCCGCAAAUCCACUGUCUCUGCCCUUUUAAUUCAACCUCUAAACUCUACCUUUUUUUUUUUUUUAUAACGAAACAUAUAUUAUUAACGGAUUGCUGAAAAUUGUUUCUCACAAUUGAUAUAUAUCGUUAUCCUAAAGGUAGAUAAAAUAUGCACUAAAAUUAUAGAUUUGUAAUUUAAUAGACACAAAAGACUUGAGAAAUUAAAAAUAGAUUUAAAAAAAUAUCAUCAAUUUUAAAGUCAUCUCCUUAUAAAAUAAAUCGCUGCAACCCACUUUAUGCAUGUUACAAUCGUCAGAUUUGCUAAUUAACAGCUGUAAAUUCCAAUAAAACUGAUGAAAUUUGCCGACAUAAACCCAAAUCUGAAAUAAAUUUAGGUCUGACGACUAGAUCUGAAGUGAAUUCAAAUUUAAACAACAAAACAAGGAAAAAUAACACAAAAUCUCACUAGGAACUUUUAGGAGAACAAAAAUUCUCACUAGAAGCCCUAAAAGAAAUAGAGAUCUCCUACUAAGAAAAUUGAGGGAGACUUUAUUAGAAAAAUAACAAAAAUAAAAUAUAUGAGAGAGAGAGAGAGAGAUCAGGGAGACUAUGGUGGUCUCUCUCUUGAAGAGGAAGCGGAAGGAAUUCAAAGAAAAGGAGUAGCAGAGAAAAGUUUGGGAAAGAGAGACAGUUGGGCAAAACAACUUUAUUAAGCCAUGAUUUGAUUUCUGCCUCUGCCUUUAUUUCUCCUCUACUUCGUGACUUUGUCAUGUCAGUCUUGCAAUCUUUCUCUUCAUAUAUUCCCUUCAUCCUCCAGCCCCUAAUAUUAGCCACUGAUGGAAUUAAAGUAAACUGGAAUACCAACUUUUCUUUUUAAGUGUACAAUUUUUUCAUCUGAAAAUUGAAAAAAAUUAACUAAGAGUACAAUUUUUAACAGCUAUCUUUAUUUAUUUUCUCUUUUGUGAUAAAUUAUGCACUAUCGAGUCAAGAGAUGGGAAUGGAAAGAGUGCUGGUGCCAAAACUCCAACGUGCAACCUUGGUGUAAGCCAAAUAUUUCAGCAUUACCAAACAUUGUCCUAAUAAUAUGCAUGGUCGGCAUAGUUUCUUUUUGCCAUUAUUUUCUUCAAUAGAAAAGAAACGAUUUGUUUUUGUUCUCUGUUACUAACUGUAUCAUCUAUAUAUAUAUAAUGCGAUUCAGUUCCUCAUUUCUUUCUCCUCCUUUUAUUCUAUUACGAUUUCACAUGUUGAUGAGUUCGAUCGAACUGAAAAUCUUGUAGUCUUAAAUUUUUACUAUGUGAUUUAUUAAUUACUAAGUGCAGUAUAACAUCCUAGUAGCUUCUCUGAAAAAAAACUAAUAGCUUGUUCCUGGUAUCCUCUAAAAUCAGCAGGCCGAAGGUGCCAUGCAGGAAAUUUCUCAUCUCCUUCCUGGCAUUUGCUCUGUAUCUUCGUACUUUGAUUAAGUGCAUUAUUUAAUGGCGUAAACUCUUAACAUUGCAAGGAAGCUGAGAAUGGUAGGGUACGAAAGGAAAGUGACUUAUGGAAUCACCACCACCCUGUGGGGUCCGGGGUCCGUCCCCCGUUCCUGAUUUUGCCUCACAUUAUAUUGCUAUUUUUUGAAACUUCAUUAAGUAAUUUAUUAAGUAAUUCCCCAUUCCUGAUUGUCUAUUAAGUAAUUUAUUUACACGGGUGACAGUCCAAUGAUAUUUAUCUUUGAAUUGCUAUUUUUUAAAAUUUUUAUUCAAAGAGAGUAUAUAAUUAUAAUAAUUUGACGUAUGUAAAUUAAAAAAGUGGUUGACGGGAACGUAAAAGUUUUUCUUUCGGAAAAGGAAAAGCUUCAAUCUGAUUGUCGAAAAAAAAAAAAUGAAAAGCUUCAAUCUGAUCAGGGCUUCAGAGGUCAUUUUAUCAGCUUAUGCACUCGUUCACAGAAACUUCCGCUUGACGGUCAUACUAUUCUCUCGUAUAAAUAGUAUUAAGACUCGUGCCCCCUUUUGCAUACCGUUUUUUCUUCGGUGCCAUCUCAUCUUUGGAGACCUGAAACAAGUAUCCAGAUUCAAUCACUCAAAAGAAACUGCAAAAUCUUUGGUCAAGAUUAUUGAAGAUGGCUGGGAUGCUUCCUGGAGUAGAAGUUGCAAGGAGGAGGAGGUUUCAUCAAAGUGGAGGAUGGCUUGAUUCUUCCAGUGCUUCACCUUCUGGUCAUUGUUCAACUAGAAGGUCUUCUUUUUGUCUAUAUGUCAGCAACCAUGAAUCCCCUCUCAGCUCAAGCACAUCUAUUGUGGUUGGUACCUCCUAAAUUUUGGAUGUCUGGUUGUAUGAAUGCAUGAGUUCUUGAAUAUCAGAGCCAUAUAUAACUUCGUAAUACAUGAAAUUGCUUGCAGCCCAGGAGCUCAAUAAGCCAGGCAUACUGUGAUCAGAAGCUGAAUGAUGCAGCCAGAGAAGCCAAACAAAGGUUGGAUGGGAGGCUAAGAGCACAAUGGAAAUCAGAAACCAAAAGGUAUUUUUUUUUCCAAAUUCGGGAAAAGAAAUAAUCCCAGUCACACAUUCAUGUGCAAAAUGUAUUAGUACUAGCUCUUUUUUUUGUGUGUGUGGAAUUUCACCGGAAUAUUGUUUUCCCCUCGUUUCUCAAAAUUUGUGAUCAUGUUCAGGGGUCAUAGCGGCCGACAAAGAUCAAGACAAUCGGAAAACAGGCCUACAGAGGUAAGAGAGUUGCAAACAGAGGUGUCGGGGGUAAAGAAAAGCGGAUCGAAGAGGUUCAGUUGGGUGAAGCUAAGCUGGAAGUCAUCUGAACAGGACGAAUGUGCUGUGUGUUUGGAGGAAUUUAGGGCAGAGGAGAAGCUAAUGCAGUUAGCCUGCGCCCACAGGUUCCAUUCAGGAUGUUUGGUGCCAUGGCUCGAGAACAAUGCCCACUGUCCUUGUUGCAGAACGGAAAUUGUCCUAUAACUAGUGGGAGGGUAGUCAGUCAAUAAAGGGCAUGAACUACUAUCAAUCAUUAGUUUUAGCUUCUAGCAGCCCAACUUCUUGAUGAAAGUUUGAGGUUGAACAAUCACUACUGUAACCUACAUAGAUUCAUUCACUACUGUCGUGCAUCCGAACAAUACUCUCUCUUUUUUUGGUUCUGUAUCGUACAUCCGAACAAACAAUUUAAAGAUGCUCUUCCAUAUACUAGGGAUUUUUUUUUUAUUGCCUUUCUUUCUUUCCCUUUAUUGUCAAAUCAAUCUCGCUUGCUUUCAGGAGUGAAAUAGUAGUAAAUCAUAAAUGGGAAAACCUUUCACCUCGGUAGGUUCACUUUCAGUGCAAGAGUCGAUCAUAAAUUUUGUCCCUAAAGCUGUUGAUGAAUUGAUGGGUAGCAGCUGAGGAUCGAAACAAGUGAAUUGAGUUGCUCCAUAGAUCACUGUCCGUGAUUGAUUUUGCGCUGUCAUGAUAGGAAAAUUGAAACAAAAUGCAUCAGUUCUUGUCUCUGAUGGGCCCAAAAUUCCUUGUACAUAUUUCCCCUGAAUGAAAGAUGACAUUCUAUUAUUGGUUUCUGUCGGUUCAUGAUGCGCUGUCUCCAAUUUCAGCUUCUGGUUUAACAAAAUAUGAAUCAAAUGUUUGGUGGGAAUAGUUAACAAUUCAAGUUUAAUCCUCUAGUUUCACUACUAUUUCGAGGAAAAUACAAGUUCUUAUCAUUAACUUGCUCGGUUCGCCAUUAUUUGUAUGAAUUGCUAUUAGAACAGGAACAGGUCACCUACCUAACUAAGGAUAAACCAUCAUCUGCAUCUGUGGAUGCUGCUGCUUUUACUUUCUAUUCUCCUUGUGUCUUGUAGUACUAGCUAAUUGCAGCCUUUCGAAAACCAAACUCCAAAAAAGAGUUAAUUUAUUGAUUCAAAAAAGAUUGUGCCUACUUUUAUAAAGUGGAUUCCAUCUCACCAUUUCCACUAUGCAUAUCUGAUGUGCGUUUUUUGCUUAAUCGCCCAGAAGUAAAAAAAUAUAUAUAUAUAUCCACCCACCCGAUUGUUAUUAUAAUCGUGUUUAAAACUAGGAAAAUUUGCUAUUGGCAAAUGCCUCUUCUUGAUGUUUGUAUUUCUUUGAUCUUUGAGUUCCAAGGAUAACUUUUUGGAUCCUUGAUUUUUUUUUUCCCUUUCAUAUAUAAAAGUUUGAAUGAAUCGAUCACUACUAUGAGUUAGCACGGGAUUAUUUUUACGCUUUGUUAUGUACUAUGUGCUUAUUUUUGGCCUUUUCAGUUCAAGAGGGCUUUGACUUUCACUGCCGCUCUGAUGAGUUAAGUCCAAGUUUAAUCGCCUUCAUGGGAAUGGACCUCUCAAGUUUGAGAGCCCAACUUCAUUAUUGGCCUUUCUGAAAUCAGGCCUCUUCGUACCCCAGUGAUCGAAAAUUUUCAGCGAGUCAACGAUGGUAUGCAGCCCAAUUGAUGAUGUAUAAAACAGACGACCCACCACCGGUGGGCGACUGACGUUCUGCGUCGUCGUUUCUCACUAAAUUAACGUUUAAAAUCCAACGGCUAGUUUAUAGAAUGACCGUUUUGAAACCAAUAAUUCAAAGCGCGACCUCCCCAUGAAAUUCACAAGAAAAAGCAUUUCUCUUCAGACAUUUGAAAAAAAUACGCCCCCACAAAUUAAAUCCCUAAAAAUUAUAAACAAAAUCCUCAGCUCAAGAACAAACAUUCAGCCAAAAAAUCCGUCUCAAAUUUCUCUACAAAAUCUGCAACAGAUAAUCAUUCCAAAAUGGUUUACACAUACACUCCUACAUAUUACAGUUCACUCCAAGAUUCAAUAGCCUCUUUGUGCAAAAAUAUCCUUCCAUUUUCUUUCAAGAAAAGGCGGUUGCCUGCAAUCGCUGCAGCUGAGCAGAGGCUAUCAAAGCAGCAGGCUGACAACUUGAAAUGGCAGCAAGAUUCAUUCCACCAGAUACUCAAAUUAAUGGGCCUCUGCAAGGAAGGGAUUUUGCCCGAAACAGAGGUCUCUGCUUUUAGAUCACAUCUAUUAGAUACCCUUAUUGCUUCACCACUUGACCAUGAACAUUCUUCAAUUUUGAGGGAUAAAUUGCUCUUCUUGCAGGUCAGUUCUUAUUGCUGUUUUUCCCCUCUAAGUCUUGAUAGCUUGAUUGAAUUGCAAUGCUUUUGGUUCUUCUUUUAAUGCCCAUUUAGAUUCAUAUGGUGACACUUUUGAAUCCUUAGACAGACAGGGAUGAUUGCUUUUCAAAAAUUGGAUAUCCAAAAACAAAAGAUGUGAAGCCUGACGAUUAGAUACUAUAUCUGAUUAGAAAAUGGAAAAUUAAUGCACAAUGCACCCCAAUAAAAAGUGUUCCUUUAUCUUUCUAGGAGCUACUGUAUGCAAAAUGCAUAUCAGAAGAUGAGUAUCAUUCGUCGAAAAGGCCUUUGUUACAGAGGUUAGCAGUUCAAGGAGCUGAAAUUGAGGCAAGAGAUAUAAUUGUUGGUGCUCAGAAAGAGAGUUCAGAUGAAGUGUGGUCUGUGAUAGAUUUGAAAGACGAGAAGUGUAUUGUUGGCAAAGAAGGCUCAAAUUUGAAGAAAAAACAAAAGCAAGGUUCAGCGAUGAAGCAAAUCAAAGGGGGGGCUGUAUCUGUAAUGGGCUUUGGAUCGUCAAAUAAAGGUGCAACAACUAAGGAAGAUAAGGGUUUAACUGCUCCGGGUGGUGAAAACAGUAGACCAGCUGAUAGAAGGUAUGAAGUUGAACUUUCUACGGAGAAUCCUUUCUGGAAUAGUCAGUUCAGGGAGAAAGAAAGUGAAACAAAAUCUAUUCUCAUGUCAGAGAGUUUGCCAAAUGAAUCCGAAAAAGUUGAGAAGCAAAGUGGAGGUGACAAAGGGAAAAGAAAACCCUUCAGAACUCUAUUUCAGAGAGAGCAAAAAGAGGGACAUGUGAGCACUAACGGGGAUAAUGGCUGUGGUUCUGAGGAAAAAACCAAAUCAGGAAAGAAGCAAUGGGGAUUUGAAGGAUUCAAGAAAUGGAAGAAAAAUGACUCUGAUGACGAAACUGCUCCAUUGGCACUAAAUGAGAAGUCAAAUUGUGGAAUUUAUAAUUCACAACUUGUCCAAAGCCCCGUUGGCGAGGGACCAGACACCAAGCAAAUUAAGAGGAAGCUGCACCCAGAUGGUGCACCUUCAGAUUUCUUUGUUGAUAAGGUGUAGUAUAUCGCGUAAUUCUUUUCUUGGCCAACGAACUAAGAAAGUCAAAAGGCUCUCUUUGGAGGUUUAUUGUUGAUCUAAUUGCUUUUCUGGUUAUUUUAGGUUUUGGAAGAUAAUAUAAAAAAGAAGCUGUCGCAAAUUCGAUCAGAACUUGAUGCCAAAAAUCAUAAUGUUCAUUUGUCGUAAGCAGUUCAUUCCUAGUCCUUGAUGAUGUUUAUGCAAUGCGCUUCUUCAUCUUCAGUUAAUCGUAUUGUAUGGGAUGGCGUCUGAUAGAUUCUUUUAUGUGGAUGAUCAGAGAUGACCAAAUUGAAGCAGUUUCUACUAGGCUUCCAGUUGACAAGGCUGAUCUAAAACAGUUCUUUCCCAAGUAAGACUCACCUUUUGUAUAGUUCUCUUCACACAAUGCUUUUUUCCCCUUUCACAUGAUGGAAGCUAUGACACUCAGAGAAUUGAAAUAACUUCCAGUAAAUUUGGAGGUAAAGAUAACUCUGUUUGCAAUUUAGGUAAUUAUGCAAAUCUUUGUUCUCUUUUUGGCUGUUUUAGGUCAUGGUGCGAUCAGUACGGUGAUGUCGUUUUGGAUGUGGUGAGGAAGGAAUUCAAGGACCAUGUUGGACAAGUGAGUGUUGGUAGGGAAAAGCACAGCUCCAAGAGAUGGACAACAUUUGAUGAUGAUGAAAAUUGUCACCCCAAUCUCUUUGCUCCAGAGGAAAACUUCUUCCACAUGAAGCAAGACAAAUCCAAUGCUUUGAAGAAGGAUCAUCUGUAUGCUGCUGCUGCUGCCAACAGCAGUAUUGAGAAAGGCUUCAAAUAUAAUCCCUUCUUUGAUAUUUAGGCCUGCUUCAAAUUAAUAAAAGAGAAGUUUUAUAACCAUCACCUUCUUCAGCUUUGUUCUGAGGCCAGAAUCCUCUCUGGACUCUCACUGGAGAGGCAGCUGGGCUCCUUCCAAAGCCCUUGCUAAAAGACAGGCACUAUCUUGUUAUGUAUUUCUGGUACUAGUAUAGUUACAGUUUGUGAUCCUGUUGUGAUAAUCAACUAUUAAUAGAAUUCUUCAUUAAGAAACCUCAACUUGUUGAUUGAAUGUAGAACUGUCGGUAGUUCUGAAUCUGUAAUAUAUGUGACGCAACCAGAUCUGUAUGAUGAAAGCUCUGUUUUCAAACUCGGACCGGACCGGCCGGUCGAACCGGGAACCGGCCAGGUAGCCGGUCCGAGUCACAUUAAAAAGUGGUCAUCUUCACAAAAAAUAAAUGAAAAGCAAUUUGCUAGGAUUAAAAACCGGAAAAUUCGUCACAUUAAAAACCGGAAAAUUAAAACCCGGGUUUGACCGGGAAAAACCGGUUUUUCCGGUUCAACAGUAAUUUUUUAAAAAAAAAUUCAAACUUUUUAAUAUUAUGUUUUGACCCCCUAAAUUGUUAAAACUUAUUGGUAUACCUCAAAUAUUUGAUACUUUAUAAAUAUUGUCCUAAAAUUUGAUGUUAUUUUUCAAUUAAAUUCAUAAUUUUAAUUCUAAACUUGUUAAUAUUUAUUAAAUAAUAUAAAUUGCUACUUGUUCUAAUUUCUUUGUAUUUUCUUGUUAAAUAUAUUUGAAACAUCAAAUAUAUAUGGAUAUACCUUUAUUAAUAUCAAUAUAUUAUUAGAUAUUAUAUAUAUAAUAUUUUAAUUUUUAAAUAAUUUUUAUUUAUGACGUCAUCCGGUUCGACCCCUAUCGACCCCGGUCGAACCCAUUGACCCCUGUAGAAAAUCGCAUCUACAGCAGUUGACGCUGUCUAUCACUGUCUUGGUAAACCCGCAGCCAUGAAUACAAAUACCAAAUUUUAGUUCUUGAUAAGAGGGAGAAUUUUAGCAUUGUGUAUCGCAAGGACGGUUUCUAUAAUCUGUCGAUACCGGUUAGAGUUGAAUUCUGCUUGCUACAUUUAUUGAAAACACGCUUUGCUUCCCUUUGCUACAUUUAUUGAAAACACGCUUUGCUUCCCUUUGAUACCGGUUAGAGAAGGAUUUGUUUAUGAAUUUAACUGAAAUAUAUAAGAAAUUUGCCUUGAAUCAAAGCAAUGGUCCAAUAAAUUUUAAGUGAGGUACAUAUUUCUCGAAAGGCUACAUGCAACAACAGCUCAAGAACAAAAUUGGCUUAUGUACAUGUGUACAUAGAAAACCUCUCAAAAAGAAGGAACUCCAGAGGUUGAAAUAGCACCUCCUGUCAAGCUUAAACCCUCACGAACAUCUCGUCGACAGAGGGGGCAUACGCUGGAGUGUUAGAGUAGAAACAAUGCUGAGUAAACGCAAGUAAUACGGAGCUAAGUUGAAACAGAAAAAGAAAUGAAUGGAAGAUUUUGCAGGAAAACAGAUGGUACGUACCCAUGUAUUUCUUUAAGCCAUUUAUCAAUACAGGCCACAUGAUACUCAUGGUGGCAAGGGAGAAUUCUUAUUUUGUCCCCCUCUUCGUACUCUGCCAAGCAAAUAUAACACCUAGACAAAACAGGAAUGGGUAUCAGCAUGUAAAGUACCAGCUAAGAGGGACUGCAUGGCAUACAUGGAACAACUAAAAAGUCUGUAAACAUACAAUAAACUUUAUACUACGGUAUGUGUAGCCAUUAACUGCAAUAGUUAACUAAAUAUCUAGGUAUUAACCACUUUCAGAAAACAGUUCUGUUUGCAGAAGCCCAAAGUGAAAGAUACAAAGAAGGCUAUGCGACAAAAAAUCCAUGUUAAUUUAUCCCGCUUCAGUUGGAAAUUAAGUAGCUUUUACUUCAGCAUACAAGGAAAGAGUUAUUUAGCAGGACAAAAUGCAAAGUUUCUGGUUUGAACAUCAUUUGCUCGGACUUUAGUGGGGGAAUUGCCAGAGAGAAGACAAGAUUUUCUACCUUCUCAAAACUUUCUUUAUGCAAUAAAGUUAUCCAUUACUGUCCUUCCAUAUUCCCAUCAGCAAACCUCUAGUGUGCAAACUCCAACAUCAAAGUAAACAUGCAUAAAAUAGUCAGGGAAACUUACUGUAUAACAUCAUCUCCACUUUCCAGUCUUUCUGGCUUCCUAUGAAUCUUCACAGGUAGAGAGUCAACAACUGUCUCUGGAGCUGGAACUGAGACCACAGACAAGGGUAGUGACAUGGGUUGUCUAUGUAUUUCAUCUAGUACCUGGAUAUUUCAAAAUAAAAUGACAAGUCAUUAGCAACUUCUAGGAGAUAGCCCUUCCCUUGCUAGAAAAAAAUUUAAAAAAAAAAUUCUAGGAGAUGGUAAGAUAUGAGCAUGUUGAACUAUAAAGAAAUAAAACAAAGUUAUUUCUGUGCCUGUGAUCAAUGAAACUUUUUCAAGUAAAGUCAUGGAAUAUCAGCAAAAUUUGUUUUAGAACUACACUAAGAAAAGCACUGAGUCUCCAUAAAACAUUUUUAAGAGCCCUCAAUUCUUGAAAGAGUACGUCCCAAUACUACAGCAAUACCUUGGUUAACUUGUUUCUUAUUCCAUAUUUAUCAGGUUGUUCUUGGCCUAAAAUUCAUUAACUUAACUACAGCCUACAGCCUAAGAUCUAAUUCUAUGACUUGGUACAUAUUUCACUCUCCAUGAGUCUGGUGCCAAGGUAAUGUCAGGAAAUAUACCAUCCUUCUGUUACAGCUAAAUCUUUUACAGCAUCCUAAUUGAAAUUUGUCAAUUCCAGUGACCUGCAGAGGUAUGGUAAUUCUUUAAAAGACAUAGCAUACUUUUCAAAAAACAAAAGGACCUAUUCAACUCCCAAAACAUGCAUUCAGCACAAUAAGCACAACCAAAAUUAGUGGCAAAUUAAUGGAAAGGAAUUUCAGGAACUUGACUUAAAUUCUUGACAGUUAACUUGGAUAACUCAAAAUCCGCCGCCCGGGGGGGGAACCAGCCCAAGAUGAAAGGGUAAAUUACCUCAAACAAUGCUUCAGCAAGCAUGACUAUUCGUGAAAUGCUUGCACGAGCACCAGACUCCUCAGCCCUUAACAUCAAACCACAUGAGCAUGCACCAUCAGGGUGAAUUCCAGCUGGACAGGUGGCUGCCCGUCGAUCAGUCCCACUUCGACCAACAUCGUGAAAUCGUUCCCAUAUCUGCUAGGGAAUAAUGGUGCUUGAUAAAGUAAGAUUUAACCAUGCAGAUGGGAUACCACUAGUAAAUUAACAGUGAAGUCAAGACAUGCAGUCAAAAUCUAACUUAGAUUCUAGAUCAGUUUUAACGCUGAGGAGGACUGGCACAUAGACUAAUGGAACCAAUAGGAUAGAGGCGCAAUCUACAUGAUAUGAUGGAAAACAUAGUGUCGUAACUACAAAACAAAUUAAUUGUAGCUAGAAGUAUUCUGAUAAAUGGAAGACCAGUAGUAUCUGAGCAAUUACCUCAGAACUGGAAUGCCACCGACGUUCAUUGGUAUUCUGGUCGCUACUUGGAUGUGGUCGUGAAUCACCUCCAAUCCCAUCCUCAAAGAAAUCGCCAUUAAAAUCAAGAAGCCAUCUGUCAUAAGAUUCAAGUCCAUCGGAGUCAUCUGCUGUAAAAAGAUGUGAUCUGGACUCUGCAUUCCUUCUAGAACUGCGUCUUGAGAAAGCAUCCCAGAAAAGUCUUCUGCUAUUAUGUCUUGCUUCAUGAUUGCUCAAUCCAGCAGAACUACUAGGUGACAUAUUGGAGGAGACACUCACCAUGUCAACUUGAAGUACAUUCCUGUCUGUAUGACCCUGAUCUCUCUCUGUCAACAGGAAUCCUAGACUCGAAGGAGUAAUCUGCUGAGAAGUAUCACCCACUGGAGAUUCAGAAAGAACAGAUGCUGAACCAGAAUCACAGUCGUGGAAAAGCAUCAGUUCAUUUGCACAAUUUUCAACUGAUACUUCAUCUGAUGAAGAUUCUCCAAGUCCAACAGAAGAUGGACAAUUAGAAAGCAUAAAGCCAGCACAACUAUGAGGCACAUUCUCAUUCAUCACAUUGUUACCCCGGUUAAGAGCAUCUGCAUUCGCCCUGGCAUUUGCAGAUUCUGUUUCUGUAGAAGGUUCAUCUUCAUAGGAUGUACUAGCAUCAUAGCUUCUACAAGUAAGAAGUGAUUGAGAAUUAAACGCUAAUUCCUUAUUCUCAUACAACCUUUUUCCUUUAUCAAUUGCCUCAACAUUUCCAGGAGAAUCUUCUCUAGAAGAGCUAUCGCCAGGCAAUGUGCCUCUUUGAGAUCCAGCUCCAGUUUCAGUUGUAGGAAUUGGAUGUUCAGUACCACUGUGAAAAGAAGAACUCUUAGGUGGAAUUUGGAUCUUCUCCAGACCAUCGUCUUCAGCAGAAUUUACCAGUUUUUCAGCUGGAUCAUCUUCCAUCUACAGAAAACAAUGGCCAAUAAAAAAAACUUAAACUUCAAUACCUAACCUACCUAGCCCAUUUCAAAACUUUAUUCAAAAAAAUGCAAUCCAACAAAGCAUGGAAGUCUUUCUUUGCUCCAAACAAAACAAAAAAAUAAUUCAGCAAAUUUAAAUGAUAUUGACACAAAAAGGCCACAAGUUAACACACCAACCACACCGGCAAACAAACGUAAAACCAUGCUUUGACUGCAGUUGGUUUUAUCAGCUGUACUCGAGAGUUAAAUAAUCACAGUUGAUGAUAAUAUUGCUCUCCUUUUCCUGUUACAGAACUGCAUAUGAGAUUUACACCUCACAUGGCUCUUCCAGAAGACAAAUACAUCAAAUCACUAAUUAAAAUAAUAUUUCCGCAAGAAAGGUUUGGCAGAAAGCCAGAAGAGCAGAGAGGGUUUCAAACAAACUUGCCCCAAUCCACACAAUACUUUUGCAUGCUCCAAUCUGGAAGGAAAGGCAGCACGUACAAGAAUUAUCUUCAAAUCAAGCAUACAGAUCUCAGAAGUUGCAAAUGAACCAGACAUUGCUAUCGUAUAUUAGUAUCUGCUCAUACACCUAAUAGAGUAAAUAAGAAGUAAAUAAAAAAAUAAUAAUAAAAAACCGAUUCCUCUUUCACUCUCAGGUUUACUCAAAAUAGUAACAUUUCCUCUCCUCUUCCCUCAGUUUCACUGUUAUUUCAGUAUCAAGUUCUGAAUUCAAGCUCCCAUACUGAGAAGAAGCUCAAUUCACUACAACCUAACAACUUCACCAGAAAAAAAAAAUUACAAGCUCCUCAACAAACAACGUUUAGUUUCGCACGCCAAUCAUUUAAUUCCACGAACAGAAUAUGCAAAGAUAGCAUUGCAUUCCAAAUGUGCAAGUAAUAUAUCCAGCCAUUUCAAGUUUUCUACAAUAAAAAAAUGCCCAAACUCUUCUUUUGUUCCGAAAAUCAAUUUUUCUUUUUCACUAUAAUUUUCCGAUCAGAAUCUAAUAGACUCUUAGACCCAUAAAAUAAACCAAAAAGUAAUUCUUCCCCGCGCUCAUCAUCCUAAAUCAGCCGUCACCAACAACAUUUGUCACCACCCCCACCCGGAAAAGCUCUUUACCGUUGAAGAGGAACUCAACUAAGCAACCUAUGUAAUUUUUAUGGGCCUUAUUAAAAAUGCAUGAUUUUAUCAGCUAGAAUAUAAACCAAUCAAGAAAUGCACCACAUGCCAAUCACUUUCCAACGGUUUUAAGUUAAAAAUUAAAAUAACCAAAAAAAAUCCUGAAAUCCUGAAAUAUGAAGUACCAAAAUCCAUGUAUAAAAGAAAAUGAUUCAUAUUACAUAAAACCUGUGGAGACACCUCAUGAGGAUGGCGAGAGGAAGGCAAGGCACCACAAAUGAAGAGAGAAGAGAGGACGCGUUUGAAGCUGGGACGAUGACGACGACGAUGAUGAUGCUGAGGGAGCCGAGAAGGGGGUGGGCGAGAGCCCCCUAAACGGCUACCACUGGAACCCAUUUUUAUCGAUCAAAAUUGGUAAUCAAAUGAAAACUCUCUUCUCCCAUCAUGAAAUCCUGAGGGAAGAGAGGGACGAUGUGAAAUUAUUCUAACAUUUUUCAUUCUAAACUUUUCUUGUUUUCUGUAUUUUUCAGAUUCUUAGAGGGGACGGUGGUGAUAAAUGAAAUUGGAGGGCUGAGUCAGUGGCAAGGUGUACGGGUGAGAUGUCUCUUUUGCUUCAUUUUUAUUUUUUCCUUUUUUCCAUUGUUUUGAAAACGAGUUGAAAAGUUCACUAAGUACGAUAAUAUAUAAGUUUAAAAAAUUUUAAAUAUAUGUAUCUCUUUAUUUAAUUUAUAAUGUAAAAUAAAAUGAUUCAAUUUAAUAUUUUAUUUUUUAAAUCACAAAAAUUAUUCUAAAAAUAUCAAAUUUGAGCUUUUAUGAAAAGUGUUUUUAACACAAAAAAACACCAUUCUUAAUUUUAUGAAAUGAUAUUUAUCAAAUGUAUUAAAAAUGCUUUUAACACCUAAAAAUGCUAUUUUAAAAAAAAAAUAUCACAACCCCAAACGAACCUUAGUUGCGUGAUAACUGAACUAAAUAGUAAAUAGUUGGAGUAUGUGUUUGGUAGCGAUAUUUCUCCAUCUCGUUGCUUUCACAUGACUGCGGAAAGUGACCAAAUUUUAGGAUGAUACUUGAGGGUUAAUUGUCUUUUCGAUAUAGACUUUCCAUCUAAGCUUUUAACCAGAUUUUAGUAGGUUAGGAUGGUCUUGUUGAUAGUUGAAAGGGAUUGUGUCAAAAUAUAACAAAAUCUUGCACAUGACAGAAUUGGAUAGAGUAAAUGUUAAUGGCAUUUAAAUUAUUUAUUAAUGAAACUUCGUUUGUUUUUUUCUUUUGCAUGUAAUUCUGUAUAAGAGUACAAGCGAGAUGGAGUGCCAUUGACAAUCGUUGCAAUACCAUUGUUAGAUAUUUUUUUUCCCCAUUUACUUUGUUUUAUGAUGAAUUGUGAAUGAUAGCAUCAUAAUAUCGGGUUACAUAUAUACAAUAUAUUGUUAGCAUAUCUUUAGGAGUAAAGCACGGCCUAUGUUUUUGCUCCUGUAUUAUGUGACAACUUUCGAAGAUUUGAAAAAAGACUGAAUUGGUUAAUAAGAUGGGAGGGAUUAUAAUUUAUAAGAGUAAUUUUAAAAACUUGCCCUGAGAUUUUUGACAAUUGCAGACAACUCCGAUCCCCUUACGUUUUGAAAAUUACACAUACUUUCUCUAGAACAUAGGCUUGGGUUUCACCUCAAUAAUGUAAGACCAAAAAAGUAUAUGAACGCCCAAAAUUGCCCUCAUCUAAUUUUCAAAAUAUGAAUAGUCAUUACAAUUUUUUAAAAAUUAAGAAUACACUUGUAUACUACAAAAUUAUGAGUUUUAUUACUUAGUCAAUGUCCUGAUGUUUUCCAUCCCAUGGUUUUCUACAUCCACACAAAUUUUCAAACUCUUAUCACUUUUUCUUUUUCCGAACAAACUCUUUAUUUUAGAUGCCAAAAUUCACCAUCAUAAUUUUUACCUUUAUAAUCUUUACAUCUUUAUAGGUUUCUUCCAUAUACUGCCUACCAAACUGUCAGCCAUAAAACUCACAAUUCUCAUCUUUUUCCCACUCAAAUAGCCAAGCCCCUCAAUUACCAAAUUCUUCCUUAUGUGAGUGAUAGAAGGUUACAAUUUAAUGGACAUGGGUGAAACAGUUUGGUCACAAUAUGUGACUUGGUCAAGAAGAAUUGUUUUUUCUUUUUUUUUUGGUUAUCUUUUUUAUCAAUGACUUGUCUUUGAAAAAAUUAUGAAGGUUAUUAUAGUUAUUGUCUAUCAUCAAGAGAGGUAAGUAUAAUAUUGAAAACCUCAAAGGAGCUCAAUGAAAUUGUUACAAAAGUCAGGGGAGGUUUCUGAAAUUAUCCCUAAUUUAUAAGUAGGAGGUUUUGGAUUUUAUUUAAAAAAAAAAAAAAAAAAAAAAACUUUGCAAGGAUUCCAAUCUCGGCAGAGGGUUUAUAUUUUAUUGUCUGGAGCCAUUUGAAGAUUCAAACCAACACCAUUCAGUGGACAGUGCAGAACACACAUUGGUCCUGCUGCACUCACCAUGCCACACUCAGGAUUUUCAAGAUUUAGCCCACAUUACAUUACAUUACAAUGGCCGUUGCGUGUGUGUUUAGAAUUGCUUUUCACUGAAUUGGACAGUUAAUAUCUAAGCCAUUUGCAUUCUCAGCAUCUGUGGUUGCCAGAUCAAUCGUCAAUGGAAGAAUAGGACAAAGGGAAGAUUGUUUCAUUGAACGUUCAACAUCGGAAUCUUGAUUUGUAGAUAGUAGUAAUCAUUUUCUGUGAAUGUUGGUUAGAAACCUAACGCUCGUAGCUUGAGGUCUGACCGGCAGUUAGCUGUGAAUAUCCAAUCUCAUCCCACGUAAAACAAUUCAAACACAAUUCCAGAUUUUCAGAAUUCGACCUAUAAAUACUACUCUUGCUCAACGUUCGUUUCCUCAAAUUCCCUACGACAUCUUACAUCUACCAUUCCGCUUGUCCUUCAGCAGCAGCCCAUCAGCAUGCGCGAUCCGCCGCCACCGCCACCGCCAAACACGCAUCCUCCUCCACACCACGAACCGACUCCUCCUCCUGGCCAUCACCAUCACCCCCCGCCCCCUCAUGAACCACUUCCGAAGCCACAUGCACCACCUCCACCCGGUCCUCCACACAACGAACCACCUCCACCCCAUCAUGGUCACGCUCCGCCCCAUGGAUCACCCCCUGCUCCUCCUGGACAUCAUCACCACUGACGACGCUAGCUAGCUACUUCUAUCUAGAACCUAAUGCGAACGUUUUACUACUUUUACCACUACUGUUUAUGAUGUUUAAGGUUUGCAACUGCUCCACCAGCUGCUCCUUAGCCGCCUGGGCGUGAAGCAUCUACUUCUGUGUAAUAAUAUGUACUUGAAAAUAAAAAAUAAAAAGAAAAGUUAUGGAUGCUUUUUUGUUUUUUAGUACUAUUACAAUAGAACUCUGAUGCAGAAGCAACAUUUAUUCAGUUCUUGCUUUUGCUACCAACACAGAACUCAUGUCAAACCUGGACGCAGGAAACAGUCCUUUUAACAACCAAAGCUGGAAAGUGCUUGGCUACCAAAGAACUGAAGAAAUCAUAAGUUUUCAUGCUUGAAAAUUUUUAACACCCGGAAGAUGGAGUUUCCUGUUCAUAUGUCUAGAUUUCAGCGUUAAGAAUCAAGAUUGUUGCUUCUUUGCUCAUCAUGAUCCAAACUCACAUGACGGAAGUAUAGGAUGAUUUUGAACCAUCUGGUGCAAAUUUUCAUAGCCAUGUUCUUUAAAAGUAUUUAAAAAGAAAAAAUAUGUUCUAAAAUAUGAUGUAUGUGAGAUGAAAAUUAAUUACAAAAUAUGUUGAAAAAAUACUUUAAAAUUAUUUUUAUGAAAGAUGGACUAUUCAAAUUUCAACUCUAAUAGUCAAAUUCAUUAAUGAUUCUCUCCUCUUAAAUAAAGUUUUCAAGCUAUGUCUCUCUUUUGUACCCAUUCAAUUUUGAAAUAAGUUUCUUUUUAGAAUAUCUUCUUUGAAGAUUUUAUUCAUAUAUUUUUUAAAUCAGCAAUUCUUAAAUCUCAUAUAUAUACACACACAUGCACACGUGUGUGUCCACGCGCGUGUAGUAGUGCACGACUGAGAUUCUUUUAUUCUAGUUUCCUUUAGGCCAAUUGGGCCUUCCUCUAGCACAAGUUAGAAUGCAAUUGACAGUCGGCCCAUUUGCGACAAGUUUUAAUAAGUUCAAUCCCGUCUAACUUAGUAAAAUAUUUGAAUUUCUAACCAUGAGUCUUGGAGUAAUAUAUGUGAAACUCAUACUUGACUCACAAUAUAUUCGGCUUUUGAAUCUAAUUCGAGUUUAUCCUAAACUCAUUUAUUACUACUUAAUUUUCUUAAUAUAAUUAUUAUAACCAUUAAGUAGUAAAGUUAAUUUGAAAUCUACGACAUUAUAAUUACACAUAAACUAGUAAAAAGCUCAUUAAAAAUACUAUUGUAUCUAUUUCAUUUAAAAUACAUGAAUAAUAAUAAUAAUACAUGAAAAAUAUAUUUAUUUAAUGAAAAUAAUUCUUUUUCUAUUAAUUACCGUAUUUUAAUUAUACAUUACAUAUUUAAAAAUAAUACAUUUAUAGUUACAUAUAUUAGGGUACAUAUAUAUAAUUAUAUAUCAAAAUAUUGAUAUAUUAUAUGGAUUAAUCUUUCCUACACUGACAGUGUAUAACGUUGGAUAAAUGACAACUAUAUAAAAUUUGAAUUUGAAAUUCAACUUUUGCACACAUGUCAUGAAUCCAACGGUAAUAGUGUAUACACUAUCAGUAUAUAUAAAAUUUACUUAUAUUAUAUAUAUGUGUGUGUAUGUGUGUAUGUGUGUAUGUGUGUAUGUGUGUGUAUAUAUAUAUAUAAUGGGCCAAGCUUUUAUCGAAUUGAACCAUGGAGACUCGAAUUUGGCUCACAUUUUAAUUGAACUUUAAAUUUAGGCCCAAACUCUGCUUGUCUAGAAUUAUAACAGGCAUGGCCCCUUUUCUUUUGAGCAAAAUGGGCUAAGUUCGGACUGAUCCAACACUAUUAAUAGUCCUAAAUAGGGAUAGAAGUUGACAAUUGAUAUAUGAAAAAAAAGAGUAAUAAUUAUUGCAAAACAUAUUAAAGGCUAGCAAUAUAAAAGUAAUCACAUUGGCAAAUUUUGAUUGAAAUCAAUAAAUGAUAGAAAAAUGUGUGCAAUUAUACCAAGUUUUCUCUCUCUUUUUUUUUUACUUAGGGGUAUUCCAGCCUUUCGGCCAGACUAAUUUCCUAAGAUUGUAUAGAGUUUAUUCUCAAAAAUAAACAGCAAGGUAGCAUAUAGAGGUAAAUCACAAGACUUGCUGAUAACUAUCAUAUUACGGAAUCAAUCGCAUUACUCGUGAGGGGUAAGUUUUCUCGUUCAUUAGAUAAAAAUAUCAUGAUCCAGCAGUCUAUUCUUAAACAAGAAAAAGGAAAGUGUUGAACUCUUUUGAAUUUAGCUUUGAACUAACGUGUUAUUCUCAGUGUUAUUAGACCCAGACCGGAUCGGCUGGUUCGAUCGGUCUGACCGUGAAUCGGUCUUCUUUCCAAUCUAGGCUUUGUUUGGCAAGCAAAUUUUUUGUCAAGUUUGUUUGCUACAAUUUUUUAACAACUUCAGCUAUAGUAAUCUUAAAAAAUUUCUCAAAAAUUUUAAAUUAUGCAUUUCAAAAUAUUCAAAAAUUCACACACUUCAAAAAAAAUUUCUAUAGUAAAUUACAUUAAAAUUUUAGACAAACAUCCAAAAAACUCACUUGCCAAACGGGGCCCUAGUUUGUAAUAUAAAAUUACUUUGGUCAAAAAUCAUCCAAAAUCGGCUAAACUAAUGACCUGAUUCGACUGGUUGAUCCGGUUCUUAAACUUUUUUUCUUCUUUUUUCCAAACAUAAUCUGAGUUAUCUAAAUUAUAACACUUUCAUUUAUUAAUCGGAAUAAGAAAACAUCACCCAUUUAGUGUAAAUAUCAAAAAUCACUCGUUUUCCUAAAUGAUCUCUAAAUUAAGAUAUUUUCAUUCCUAUGAUCUCAUUAAUUUAGCAUCAAUUAUUCGAACUUGUAUUAAUUUGUUUUAAUUUAAUUUUUCAAGUAAUUUUGGAGAAUGUACAUAUUUUAACUAUGAAUUUACACUUUUAUAUAUAAUUAAUAGGUAUAUAUUUGAUUACAAGUCUAAUAAUUUUUGGAUCAUUUUUCAUGAUUGGCCAAAUAUAACAGAGAACUUAAUUUUAAUAUUUCUAAAACUUAUAAAAAUAUAAAAUGAUUAUAAUAUCAUCCUGACAUCAUCGGACUUUUGAGAACGGUUCGACCAAUCUGACCAGUUGACCCCCUGACCCAAGAGUUUAGCCGACUCACUUUUCGGUUUGAGUUUAAUAACAUUGGUUAUUCUUCACAUUAAGGAUGUUACUCUUCUAAGUUUACCUUUAAAAAAAAAACAAGAAGGAUAGAAACUCACGACGUGCUUGUGUCUGCAUGAUAGAUGUGUCAUAUAUAAAAACUCCUUAAAUCAAGGUGGUGGGAUGUCAUUUAAAAUUUUAAAUUUAAAUCACGAAGUGUUGUAGUAUAAAGUCGUUUAGUGUGAAAUUUUCCUUCUUUUUCUGUUUAGUUUUUCAUUUUCAAAAAAAGAUUUUUUUAAAAGCAAUAUUUUUUUUGGAAGGAUUUUAAAGCAAUUGGUUAUUGCUUCAUGCUUCUAGACAGGUCUAAGUACACAGAAAAAGCUAAAGAAAAAAGUCAGACAACUUAUAACAUGAUCAAAUUAGGCCGAAAACUUGUUGCCUUGAUGUUCUUGUGUCUGCGAAAGACCGCUGCAUUUUUUCAGGCCGCACUAUUCGUCUUCUUCCUUGUAGGCUUGUACGACAAAUUGCUACUAUAUGGAUCAGACAAUAGAUCGGUGAAAGACGUCCUCCCGUGAAUAGAUCGUUGUGCAACAAACAAGGAAAAGAAAACUAUGUAUACUCGCAUACAUAUCCUGAAAUGAUGAUGCAACUUAAAACCCUAGAUCCGCCACCACCACCAUGGCCACCGGGAUUUACCGUCUUCCCCAACCUCAAAUCCCCGCAUAGGACCCUACGUUUCCACCAAUUUCUGGUCCUCUUCCUCACCUUCACUGCCUACUCUUCCUUCCAUGCCUCCCGUAAACCUCCAAGUAUUGUCAAAUCCAUACUUGGCCCCGAAGUCCAAACUGCAAACACCACGAUCCACGUCGUGGCUUCGGUGUUUAACUCCGACCCAUUUCAAUCCAGCCAAAACCCAGGUAAAAAUGCCACUGGGUGGGCUCCGUUUAAUGGCCGACGUGGACCCCACCGUCUGGGGGAGCUGGAUCUUUCAUUCCUAUUGGCCUAUUCUGUUGGGAUGUAUUUCGCUGGCCACAUUGGUGAUAGCUUUGAUUUGAGGCUGUUCUUGACUAUAGGAAUGCUGGGCAGUGGCUGUUUAGUGAUAUUUUUCGGGUUAGGCUACUUUCUUGACGUGCAUUCUUUCGCAUUUUUCGUGAUUGUUCAGAUUUUGUGUGGAUUGUUUCAGUCCAUUGGUUGGCCUUGUGUGGUUGCAGUGGUAGGCAAUUGGUUUGAGAAGUCCAAAAGAGGGUUGAUCAUGGGGAUAUGGAAUUCUCAGGCCUCGGUUGGUAACAUUAUUGGUUCAGUAGUAGCUUCUUCAGUGCUGGGAUUUGGGUGGGGUUGGUGUUUCGUCUUACCUGGGACUUUGAUUAUAAUUGUGGCAGUUCUGGUGUAUUUGUUUCUUGUUGUCAGUCCUGAAAAUGUUGGAUUUGAGUUUCCGGAAAUGGAGAUUGAGAUGAGUGUGGAGGCAGUUGCGUUGGUGGAUUCAGAAAAAGUUGAAUCAGGAGAAGAGGGAUUUGUUGGUUCUGUGGAUGAGGGUGUUUCAGUUGCAAUUGGAUUCCUGGAAGCUUGGAGGUUGCCGGGAGUGGCCCCUUAUGCUUUCUCCCUGUUCUUCUCCAAGCUUGUUGCUUAUACCUUUCUUUAUUGGUUGCCUUUUUACCUAAGGCACACAGGUAAUUGUCUAAUCCUCAUUUUUUCAAUUUGUGAUGCAAAUUUUGAUUUUUGAACGUAACCCAAAGGGGAAGAAAGAGUGUCUUUUUAUUUGUAUGUCUAGCUUAUGGUUUUAUCCAGAGCUGAGAGUACUAGAGCUUUAAAUGAUUUUCGGUUCAAAUGACUAUCAAAUGAGAUCGCAGAUUAUGUUACUUGUUACAUUGCCAUUUAUAGCUGCUUAAGUUUUAUAUGCUACACAAAGAGAAAUGCAUUGCGUAGUGUCUGAAUCUUAUAGAAAUUAGAUUCCAUAUUUAUUGUGUGGGAAAGAGAACUUUCAGACAAUUUAUAAAGUAGAAAAUCCUAAUCGUUCGAGUUAAAUAUGCAUUAUGUUAACCUUUUUUUUUUCAAUAUUGGAAUUUGUGUUCCUGGAGCUGAUGUUGUUCAGUUCAUCUACUUGUCUGAUCAAACUGUUUGAUAUUCACAACGAUGUGUUUGGUCUUGUUUUGAAGCCAUUGGCGGGGUGCACGUGUCUCACAGAACUGCUGGCAUCCUUUCAACGAUUUUUGAUAUUGGAGGUGUUGCUGGUGGCAUUCUGGCAGGAUUCAUAUCUGACCUAAUUGAAGCUCAAGCUGUUAGCUCUCUUCUAUUCUUCUUGUUAUCGAUUCCAGCCCUUGUUUUGUAUCGCAUUUAUGGAAGUGUGUCUAUGGUAUGGAAUAUUGCAUUAAUGUUUGUUUCUGGGUUGCUGGUCAAUGGGCCGUACUCGCUAAUUACCACAGCUGUUGCCACUGAUCUUGGUACCCAGAGUGUGAUUAAAGGUAACUCUCGUGCCUUAGCCACGGUUUCUGCAAUCAUAGAUGGUACUGGUUCUGUUGGGGCAGCAAUUGGGCCCCUUCUGGCUGGUUACAUAUCAACUGGAGGAUGGAACAGCGUGUUUUUUAUGCUCAUUGUUUCAAUAUUCUUGGCAAGCUUGUUAUUGAUUCAUCUUGUAAAGAAUGAGAUUAAAGGAAAGCUGAAUGAGGGAAAAUGGCUUUGGUUCCAUGUGAUUACUCAUUAACUAUAAACUCUAGUCUACAGUAUUAUACACAUUUAUCGUCUAUUAUGUGAGAGACAGGAUUGUUUAUUGCCAUUGAGACUACGGUUACUCCAGUGAUAGUUCGUGUAUCUUACCAGAGAAAGGAUUCCUACAUUGUAUACUAGUAUGCAGGAUAAAUCACAUGAUUCUUGUACUAUGAUUUUGCAUUCUUGAGCUACCAUUUGGUCGGUUCCUUUGUAUCAUAUUGUAGUAUUGGCGGAAGAGUAGAGAAAUCUAUGAGAUGAAAUUUUGUUACCUUUUUUAGAGAAAUGUUGUACUUUGUAAUUCGUACCCCAUUUUUUAGAAGAAUGCACAUGGUUGACUUCUUUUGUUACCAUGUUGGUUCUUUAAUUCUGAUUUUGCUUCGAAGAUAAACGGAACUACUCUUGCCUCGCUAUAAGGCAAUUGUUUGUUUCACAAAAGCUAAUCUUUCCAACUUAUCAUUGAUAAGAAAAAAGACUGAAAAUGAUGAGAUUGGAAACCAAAAAGUGGAUCAAGGGAAGAAGCGGCUCUUGGCUUUUCUUGGGUAAGAUGGCUAAUGCCUGUUUUCAAUCCAUCCGUUGCUAGUUUAGAUUUUGUCGCUGGUUGUAGCCCUAUAGGUGUAUCGAGAAAUGGAAAUAAGAGGAUUGCAAUUGUAAUUCUUCAGACUGUCAGUAUCUGUGUAUAUAUGAUAGGAAACAGGAUGAAAUUCCUGAGUGAUUAGUGCUCAGACUCUCAACAUGUAACAUUGGUCCAUCAAAAAGAAUAAUUGAAGAAAAUCCCCCCCAGUGUCCCAAAAUUCAGUGCAACUAGCCACGAAGCUGGUCGGCGCAUCGUGACAUGCAGUGUGUUCCAAAGCGUUUAGAGCCUCGUCUCAGCUUCUUUAAUCCGGCUCCAAUUUCGUCGGAUCAGGGUUCUCUGCUGUCACUGGUUUACUUUUCAUGGUGAAAAUGAGGUAUUUUUGAAUUGGAUGGGAGGUUAAAUGUUGAGUACCAAUUUCAAUGUAUGAAAAAAAAAAUUAUUAUAUUUUUUCAUUUUAUUGUGCUAAUAUCUACAUUUAUUAUAUUAAUAUCUACAUUUCUUGAGUUGGCGUCUCUACUAUAGUUAGUGUCUGCACUGCACCCCACCAUUACUACUGGUGACCACAAAAAACCUGAUCCACUUGUGUGCUCAUGAUUGAAGCAGGUGGUCUAACUUGUGCGCUCAUGAUUGAAGCAGGUGGUCUAACUUGUGCGCUUAUGAUUGAAGCAGAAGCAGAAGGUCUACUAAUAACGUCAAAUUUGGAGUUUCGAAGGCACCAUAUGGUAAUGUACAGUUUUAUGAUAAAAUACCAUAUGGUAAUGUUGUUCAUUCAAUGCACAGGACAAGAAGAAAUCCAAGGCACGCGUAGGAAAUUGACAUGAUUAGAGGACAGUAAAGUUGAAGAAUCGUUGGACUCGUGUACAUCUCAAUGGUUGUCUCAUCUACACGAGAGAAGUCAUCUCCCCAUAAUGUCAUUCACUCU
rnacentral:lncRNA from 1 species